AUAAAUACUAGUGCACAAGUCAUUGUGACUUUGCACAUUAUUACCCAUUAGUAACAACUUCUAAGUAACUCGACGUAGCAAUGAUUUCUGCCUCGUUAAAAACCUUGGAGAAGAACCUCCUUGCCUUCCAAAAUCUUCACCAAGGAAAAGAGUACAGAAUCAUCACCUAAGUUACCUAGUCAUUGUUACUGGGUUCCUCAUUCUUCAAGAUAGAGAUGUUGAAGAUGUGAGCUCCAGCCUCCUGGUGAUCGCUGUCCUCUGUGGCAAUGAGUGCGUGAGCCUCCUUAGCCAUCUCUCUAGCUCUGGAACGAGUGAUCCUGCCAGCUACCUCUGGUUCCUCCUCCUCUGAGCUGGUCACGAUCAUAUCAUCCUCUCCCUCUUGAAAAGGAUUUGUCCUCAAAUCUGAAUCUGCAACGUAAGGAAGCAAGUCAGAAACAUUGAAAGCAUCAGAAACGUCAUACUUACCUUGAAGAUCAAUCUGAUAGGCGUUGUUGUUGAUUCUUUUGAUGACUGCGAAUGGUCCAUCCACUCUGGGCAUUAGCUUGUUCUUUCGUUCAGCUGGAAAUCGCUCCUUCCUCAGAUGGAUCUACACCAGAUCGCCUUCUUCAAAAAUCAGCUUCUUUCGUCCUUUGUUGGCAUGCUUCUCAUACUGCUUUGUCUUUUUCUCGAUAUUCUCCUUAGCCUUAGCAUGAAUUCUUCUGACCUGUUCAGCUUUCUCCUUGCCAUUCAAACUGCAUUUUCCACUUAAAGGCAAAGGGAUCAAGUCUAGAGGUGAUUGUGGAUUAAACCCAUAUACAAUUUCAAAAGGAGAAAAGAGAGUAGCAGAAUGCUUAGCGUGAUUGUAAGCAAACUCGACAUGAGGCAGGCACUCUUCCCAUGUCUUGAGGUUACUUUUCACCAAAGUCCUUAGAAGUGUGGACAACGUUCUAUUCACCACCUCGGUCUGUCCAUCGGUCUGAGGAUGACACGUAGUUGAGAAUGAGAGCUUUGUUCCCAGCUUAGCCCAAAGCGUUCGCCAAAAGUGUCCUAAGAACUUCGUGUCUCGAUCUGAAACGAUAACCUGUGGCAUUCCAUGCAGUCGUACUACUUCCCUGAAAAACAAGUUAGCUACAUUCACAGCAUCAUCUGUCUUGUGGCUAGCGAUGAAGUGAGCCUUCUUGCUAAACCUGUCAACAACUACAAAAAUAGAAUCUCUACCAUUUCUGUUGCGAGGUAAGCCAACUACAAAAUCCAUAGAGAUAUUAGUCCAAGGUUGAGAAGGAAUAGGCAAAGGAGUAUACAAACCGUGAGGUUGAACUUUACUCUUAGCCAUCUUACAUACGACACAUCUAGAGCAGAUUUUCUCAACGUCCUUCUUCAUGUUCGGCCAGUACAAGUGCUCUUGUAGCCCAAGAAGUGUCUUUGUGACGCCGAAAUGUCCAGCUAAUCCACCUCCAUGAGCUUCUCGUACCAGUAACUCUCGAAUGGAUCCUCGUGGUAUGCACAAUCGGUUACUGAAGAACAAGUAUCCAUCCUGUCUAUAAAAUUUCUCACAGGCAAACUUAUGACAUUUGGCAUAGCUCUCAGAAAAGUCAGUGUCAGAUUCAUAAAGAUCUAUAAUAUGCUCAAAUCCAAUCAACUUUGAUGUUAAAGUCGAAAUAAGAGUGUACCUCCGGGAUAAUGCGUCUGCGACCACAUUAUCUUUACCUUUUUUGUACUUAACAAUGUAGGGGAAUGUCUCAAUGAACUCCAUCCAUCGCCCAUGUCUUUUGUUAAGUUUCUGCUGACCCUUGAGGUGCUUUAGAGACUCGUGAUCGGUAUGAAUGACGAAUUCCUUAGGCCAUAAGUAAUGCUGCCACGUCUGGAGAGCUCGAACCAAUGCGUAUAACUCCUUGUCAUACGUGGGAUAAUUCAGCGUUGAUCCUCCUAACUUUUUGCUGAAGUAAGCGACGGGCUUCUUAUCCUGCAUAAGAACUGCUCCAAUACCUACACCAGAAGCAUCACAUUCAAUCUCAAAAGUCUUAGUAAAAUCAGGAAGUACAAGUAAGGGCGAAUUGAUAAGCUUCUCUUUAAGGGCUGUAAAAGCCUGUUCUUGCGCCUCUCCCCACUUGAACCCCACGUCUUUCUUGAUUACUUCGGUUAAAGGCGCGGCUAUGGUGCUGAAAUCACGAACAAAACGCCUGUGAAAUCCUGCUAAGCCAUGGAAACUUCGGACUUCUCCAAUAUUCUUGGGGGUUGGCCACUCCUUGAUAGCUUUUAUCUUCUCUUCAUCUACUUUAACUCCUCCUGCACUUACUACAAAGCCUAAGAAAACAAUCUCGUUAGUGCAGAAUGAACAUUUAGAUAAAUUAGCAAAGAGAGAUUGAGAGCGAAGAACAUCAAGAACCGAUCUGAUGUGAUCUAGAUGUUCUUCCAAACCUUUACUGUAGAUGAGGAUAUCGUCGAAAUAAACCACUACAAACACGCCAAUGAAUGGUCUCAGGGCAUGGUUCAUUAGUCUCAUGAAGGUGCUGGGAGCAUUGGUGAGGCCAAACGGCAUAACUAGCCACUCGUAGAGUCCCUGCUUUGUCUUGAAUGCCGUUUUCCACUCGUCCCCUUCCUUCAUUCUGAUCUGAUGAUAUCCACUCUUCAAGUCGAUCUUAGAGAAGAUUGUCGACCCACAGAGCUCAUCCAGCAUAUCAUCUAGCCUUGGGAUCGGAUGCCGAUACUUCACAGUGAUGUUGUUGAUAGCUCGGCAGUCUACACACAUCCUCCAGGAACCAUCCUUCUUUGGCACCAACAGAACUGGAACCGCACAUGGACUCAAGCUUUCUCGGAUAUGGCCUUUGCUCAUCAGCUCCUCCACUUGCUUUUGCAGCUCCUUAGUCUCUACAGGGUUGGUUCGGUAUGCUGGCCUGUUAGGUAAGGCUGAUCCUGGUACCAAGUCAAUCUGAUGCUCUAUCCCGCGAAUUGGAGGUAGCCCUGGUGGAAUUUCUACUGGAAAAACGUCCUUGUAUUCCUGCAAAAUCUCAAACAUAGCACUAGGAAGCUCCUGUGAAGGGUUAGUACUAACAAGGGAUUCCUUGUACACAAACAUAAAAGUAGUCAUUUCAGGAUCAAAGAGUUUAGAAAAUUCACUGUGGUUUAUGUAGAGGCUGUUGGCGACUUUCUCCUUCUCCUUGAGCUUCAUUUGAACUUGAUCUUGAUAAAUCUCGGUAGGCGUGAGAGGUAGGAGGGUAAUUUUGCGACCUUUGAACUCGAAUGAGUGCUUGUUGGUGUAACCGUCGUGUAUCACCCUACGAUCUGAUUGCCACGGUCUGCCUAGCAACACAUGACUCGAACCCAUGGGAAUGACGUCACAUAGAAUCCCAUCUUCAUACUUCCCAAUGGAUAGAGAAACCAUCACUUGCUGAGAUACGGUCAAGGCUCCACUGUCAUUCAACCACUGAAGCUUAUACGGCCUUGGAUGAGAAAUAGUCUUGAGCUGGAGCUUCUUAACCAUCUCUUCGCUUGCAGCAUUAGUACAACUUCCUCCAUCGAUGAUCAGGCUACAAACUUUUCCUUGAAUGAAGCAUCUCGUAUGGAACAGGUUCUCUCGCUGACAAGUCUCUUCAGGUUGACUCUGAACACUCAAAGUCCUUCUGGCAACCAGCAUCUCGCCCACAGCAGCAGCUUCUUCCUCUUCCUCUAAUUCAUAUUCGGCCUCUGAAUCCUCUUGAGGAACUAUCUCUCCUCCCUCAUGUAACAAGAAAACCUUCUUGUUUGGGCAAUCUCGAGAGUAAUGUCCCAUUCCUUGACAUUUGAAACAUCUCACAUUGCUGAUAGAAGUGCCACCUCGAGGCUUGAACUCAGCUUUAGCUUCUUCUUUAACUCCAGUAGAUGGCGGUUUGAUGUCUCUGGAGUAAGCUGGCUUGCUGAUCUCCUUAGGCUUAGGCACACUAGGCGUGAAUGUGGACUUGAAAUUUCGCCUCUUGACUUGAGAUUCCACCAAUUCAGCCUUAUGCACCAUCUCUUGUAUAUCUGCGAAAUCCUGAAGUUCCACCUUGUCUUGAAUUUCUCGGUUAAGUCCUCCAAGAAAUCUCGACAUUACCAUCUCGUAAAUCUGCACGAAUGAGCAAAGUUUCCAAUUCUUGAUAAUAAUCUCGAACAGACUUCGUACCUUGGACGAGGCGCCUAAGCUUGUUGAGUAUCUCGCGCUGAUGAUGGGCCGGAACGAACCGCUUCCUCAUCUGUAAAACGAGCUGAUCCCAAGUAGUAAUCGGAAGUUCCCUCAAGCGAUUCCUGGUGACUCCCAACUGCUCCCACCAUAGAAGCGCAUACCCAUGAAAUUACGAAACUGCAAUCUUCACCUUGUUGAGCUCGUAAGUUCCUUGGACCAGAAAAUUAGACUCCAUCUUCCUUUCCCAAUCUAGAUAAGCUUGGGGAUCAUUAGUUCCAUGGAAAGGAGGAUACUGGAUUUUGAUAUGACGCAGCUGCUGUCGUAGAGGAUCAUAAUCUCGACCAUGUCCUCGGCCUCGAUCUCGUCUCACAGUUUCUCUGCUAUGAUCAGAAGCUUCGUCCUCCUCAUAGUAUUCUGGGUCUGAUUCCAGGGUAACUCGAUGCCCAGCAAUAUAUUCCUCUCGGCGGUGCUGACGAUCUACCCUUGGGCCAUCUCGUUCUGCACCAGUAGGAUUCCUCCUCGGAUUAAACGUAGUCUCUCUGCCCCCAAUUUGGCUUCGGUUGGACUUAGCUUUAGUCCUGGCUUCGGAAGGUGUUGGGUGGCGUGGAAGUUUCCGGGAAGAUCCUAUGUGCCCUUUACCCUUUGCUAGUCGCAUUGCUUCCGAAGGAGUUGGAGUUUGAGACGACUGUUCUCCACUUGCACUGAGAUCUUUGAGCAGAUCACUCAUCUUGGUCUCGAACUUGUCGUUGAGUUGUUCGAUUUGUUGGGUGAGCUGAGUUGUUAUGGCUUGAUUCGCUUCUUUGAUUUGUUGAGACAUUGCUCGGUUCAGAGCUUCCAUUGUCUCAGCCGAAAGCUCCAUGGUACCUGAAAAAAUUUAAAAAAAAAAAACUCGCAGUAACUUGUUCUAGAAGAAAUCACAAAACAGCAAAACUAAACUCAUCAUAAAAAUUAACCGAUCUCCACGAAAUCUAAAACAAACUCAAAGAAACUAAUGAAAUUUCUGAAGGCCGUAUCAUUUUCCCAGCCUCAAUUUCGGAACCUUAGACACCAGAGAGUAUUGGAGACUAUAAAUACAUGUCAUUUAGGUCGUUUUUAAGGAGAGAAGAAGAGUGACGAAAUACUUUACAGAAAUUUUACUUUAAGCUUUGUUUUUAGGUUUUAGGGAGAGAGAGAUCUGUCUCUUGAACCCUUGUUCUUUCUAAUAACACCGUAUUUUGACCACUUUUAUGGAUCGUUUUGAAAUACUUUUUCUAUGUUUUUAAUUGCUUUUAAGUACUUUUAUUACGUUUUUUCUAGUAUUUGUAGUUCCAAGACUCUUUUCAGGUAACUUAGGGAAAAGCUUAAUAAAAUGGAUAGAAAACCAGAUUUCAGCUCAGAGUCAAACCGUCAGAAGUUCACCCCUGAUUGAAGGCCUUCUCACCGUCUGAUCCAGCUCAAAUUUGGAGACCUUAAAGAUGGAAGUAUCAGCUUUUCAGCACACUUUACAGCUUGGCAAUUGAUACGAUCCAAGGGAAUCUACUCUGAAGAACAAGGCUACAGGUGGCGAUAUAUUGACCAAAAUGAAAACGAUGAGGCGAUAAGGUGGUGGUGGUGGCGCGGUGAUGACUCGAUGGAUUUGCGAUGGUGGUCUAGUGAGCGAGACAAUGAGUGGCGAUGGUAGUGAGUGGCUCGGAUUGAUGAUGCGAGAUGGUGGCGUGAAGAGAUCGGAUCCGAAACGAUCUGGUAGUGAUGGAUUCGCGAGAGUAUGGUCGAUGGAUAAGGGAUGAUGGCGAGAAUAGAGGUUGGGGGAAUCGAUUAGAUGAUAGGUUGAAGAUUUUCUUGUAAGAAACACUUGUAAGAAAAUCGAAUUCAAUGAACUUUUGAGUCAAGGAAUCAAGGAAAACGAUGUUGUUCUCUUUUUUACGUUAAAAUUCCAAGCUGCCUUACAAAGAGACUAAGUAUCAGAUACUUAUAGUAUCGACAAAAGACCUAGAGUACUCGCCCAAAUAAACAUCAAGGCGUCUAAAAAUAAAAACUACAGAGCGUCUGAAUUAAAAUUAAAACAACUAGGCGUCCCUUCUAAAUCCUAAGUGGUGCGCCUAAAAUAAAUACUAGUGCACAAGUCAUUGUGACUUUGCACAUUAUUACCCUUUAGUAACAACUUCUAAGUAACUCGACGUAGCAAUAAUUUCUGCCUCGUUAAAAACCUUGGAGAAGAACCUCCUUACCUUCCAAAAUCUUCACCAAGGAAAAGAGUACAGAAUCAUCACCUAAGUUACCUAGUCAUUGUUACUGGGUUCCUCAUUCUUCAAGAUAGAGAUGUUGAAGAUGUGAGCUCCAGCCUCCUGGUGAUCGCUGUCCUCUGUGGCAAUAAGUGCGUGAGCCUCCUUAGCCAUCUCUCUAGCUCUGGAACGAGUGAUCCUGCCAGCUACCUCUGGUUCUUCCUCCUCUGAGCUGGUCACGAUCAUAUCAGCAAUCCAACGGUUCAAUCAAAAGAUACGUGAAGAGCAAGAUGUCCCGUAAACCAGCUGGCAAGCAACUCCACCCGCGGCUAACAGGCAAUUUCCCGCGGUCAGAAGCAUCCCGACCGCGGCAAACCACUCAUUCUCCGCGGUCACACUCGUCCCGACCGCGGCCAGCCAACUCUGAGCCCAAAAGCCCAUUUCUGAAGUGAUGUGAUCCUCCCAAGGAUCGGCACUCAGAAGCUUGGUAAGAGAUAGAUAAGAGACAGAAGUUUGCGGAAUAGACUUCUGUUUGAAGAGAUGAACAGAUCAGGUUACUGUUCAGAAUUUAAUUUGAUCACAAGAGAUAGAAGAGAAAUGAAAAAGAUGCUGCAGAAGCAGCGAUUCACUCUCAGGAGAAAACAAAGAGAAUAGAGAUGAUAAAGAUGCUGCACAAGCAGCGAAUCACUCUCAAAGAGACAAAGGAUUUCGUCCAGGUUUGAUAAAAGAAAGAAAGAGUUUUAUUUGAUAAAAGUUUGAUGAUCCAAUCCAGGAUGAGUUCUCAUAAGAGAUUACAAGAUUAUUUAAAGAGAAGAAAUGUAGAAAAACAAUGCAAACUCGAAAAUGACAAGAAAAUAAAUGCAAAGUUUGAAUAACUCUUCAAGUCACUUCUCCAGCCUCUUGAACUUCCCUUGGACGAAAUUUGUCUUGGGCUUAAGUCCUUGAUUCAAAAAUUGGGCUUUGAGAGAAGUAGACACCAUUGCCUCCUUAAAACCUUCUUUUGGAAAACCCAUUGGGACAAAACCAAAGGUAAGGGAAAAAGAGUACAACUGGGCCACUUACCCAAUUGUUGAUCUACCUGAGCCUGAAUCAAAACCAGUGUGGUUUUUAAUCCAUCUUCUCCAGCCUGGCUCAAGCAAUCUUCUUUGUUCCAUAGAUAAGUAGGUAUCUCGCCGAUGCCUUCUUUGAGCUUAUUAGCCUUUGCUCCUUUGUUUUUAGACCAAAAUCUGUCGGCUACAAGUUGAUCCUUAGCUCCAUGCUCUGGUUCAAGAUAUCCUUUCUUUAUGCUGCUCAGUAUCACAUCAUCCUCCCCCAGUUGAAAAGGAUUUGUCCUCAAAUCAGGACCAUCUGCCAAGAACAAAGCUAAGUUAGAACCAUUAGAACUUGAAUUCGGAUAAUGCUUACCUUGCAAGUAUGUUUCGACAGUGAUCUGUAUUGGAGUUUGAGGUGUUCCAUGCUUCCUAGCAUCCUUGAAGUCAGAGUGUUCAAGUUCCACACGUCCUCCAGCCCUCAUCCCUUUUUGCUGUCCAUUUUGAGCUCCUUUUUCAGUGGUGGUUUGAUAGUUUAGAAGCUCCUUUUGCUUAAGGCUCUUUUUGGUGAAGAUAAGGCCUUCGGAUGGGUUCUUCAUAGGAAAGAUGCAAUCUAUUUGUCCAAACUGAAUUCUGUUCCAGCAUUUAUCUUCUAAAGGUUCAGUUGGCCUAAGAAAAUCAUUUUUAUAGUCCUGCAAAACAAAAGAUCUUCCACUCGGCAGCUCCGGUGCAACAUUAGACAAACUCAAAAGAGUUUCUUUAUAAGCAGACUUACGACUAGAUGAUUGAGAGAUUAGAGUUCUUUGGAUAUUACCAGAUUUGGCAAGGAAGUUUGAUUGCUUGUAGGUGUUGUUCUCAGCCUGUUUUCCUUUCUUCUUUUGAUCUUGAUAAAUCUCGAAAGAUGUCAUUGGAACAAGGAUGUGCUUCCUGCCUUUGAACUCAAAAGAAUACUUGUUGGUGGAGCCAUCAUGAGUCACUUGUCUAUCAUACUGCCAUGGCCUUCCCAACAGGAUGUGACUUGCCUCCAUAGGUAGAACAUCACACAGAAUUUCGUCCUCAUACUUUCCAAGGGUUAGAGAAAUCGAUACUUGGCUAUUAACUCGCAUUUCACCUUUAUCAUUGAGCCAAUGCAGAUUGUAUGGCUUUGGAUGCUUCUUCAUGGUCAAGCCAAGCUUAUUAACCAUGUAUUCACUUGCUAUAUUGGUGCAGCUUCCUCCAUCGAUGAUGAGAUUGCACACCUUGUCUUGCACAUGACAUCUUGUGUGAAACAGGUUCUGUCUUUGUGCUUCCUCUUCUGCCUUAGCUUGCACAUUUAGAAUCUUUUUCAUCAUCAAAAGAUCUCCUGUAGCAGCAUACUCCUCUUGCUCUUCCACUGAAUCUGAGAUCUCUUUUUCAUCUGCUGAUUCGUACUCACCAUUGUCCAAAAGAAUCAGAACUCUCUUGUUAGGACAUUUACUAGCAAUGUGUCCUCUUCCUUGACACUUGAAGCAGACUAUCUCACGAGCUCUAGUAGUUGAUGAUUCGGUUUUGACCUUGAACUCUGGUUUAGUAGAGAACGAUUUAGAAGACACCACAGGCUCAGCACUUGGUUUUUCUUCUUUUGUAAAGCCUGGUCUAGCCGUAGAUGAACCAACCCCAAAACUUGAUCGAGAUCCUCUCCGCUUGAGCUGUUGUUCAACCAGAAUGGCCUUGUGAUAUAUCUCCUCUAGAUCAGCAUAGCUUUGCAUCUCCACUCUGUCUUGAACUUCUCGAUUCAGCCCACUCAAGAACCUAGCAAUGGUUGCUUCUUCAUCUUCUUCAAUUCCUGCCUUGAUCAUCAGAGACUCCAUUUCUUGAAAAUAAUCUUCUACACUGCUGUUUCCUUGAGUCAAACGCCUAAGUCUUUGGUGUAGCUCCUGGUGAUAGUGACUAGGGACAAAGCGCUUCCUCAUUAGUACUUUCAACUCAUCCCAAGUAUCAACAGGCGGCUCUCUAUUGCGCUUACGGCUUGUUGUGAUCUGAUCCCACCAGUUUUUGGCAUAACCAUAAAACUCUGUAGCAGCUAGCUUUACCAUCUUGAGAUCUGAAUACUCUUGAAAAUCAUAGAUAAUCUCGAUCUUCUUCUCCCAUUCCAGAUAAGCAUCUGCAUCAUUCUUGCCAUGAAAAGGAGGAACUUCCAGCUUCAUGCCUCUCAUGUCAUCAUCAAUACGUUCUCUUACUCCUCUUCCACGUCUUGGACUACCUUGUGAAGAAUUAUCAUCACCAACAUUAUUUCUAGGCUGUCUCUACUGGACAUGAACUCCAUUGGUAUUUCUGUCUUGAAUCCCCUCGGAUUAGGUUCUCCUUGUAGCUGAUCAAUUCGCUGAUGUAGUUCUUCUGCUUGAGUUUUCAUCAGUUGCUCAAACCGAGCCAUCAUAACUUCCAUAAAGAGUUUGUUGCUAUUGUUGCUGUUGUCUCCUUGCUCUUCACUCAUUGUGACCUGAAAAACAAAGCACAAAACAAAGCCAGUAACUAGUUCUCACAAAAUAUCAAAAUGCAAAAAUGACUCUUCGUGUGCCACAAGAAAUCAAUCAAAAGUCCUAGAAUGUGAUCGGUUUAUUUUUAAACAAGCACAGAUAUGGCCGAUGAUGAGAUUUGAUGAUAGAAACUGAAUGGACAAACUAAUAUGAGCAGAUCUGAUGCAGAGAAGAUGAAAAGACAAAACAAAACCAGGGAAAAAAAAAAACGUGAUGCAGGGGCAAACAAACACUAGAUUUAGAGGCUUAUGAUGCAAACUAAACAGAUCUAAAAUGAUUUUUAUGGGUUUUCUUUUUCUGAAGAGAACUAAAACGAAAAUAGAAGAUGAACAGAUGCAGACACGAAAUUAAGAAGAUGAAAAGAUGAGAAAGGAUAGAGACUACCAAAGCAAAUUCUAACUGUGCUCUGAUACCACUUGAUGUGAUCCUCCCAAGGAUCGGCACUCAGAAACUUGGUAAGAGAUAGAUAAGAGACAGAAGUUUGCGGAAUAGACUUCUGUUUGAAGAGAUGAACAGAUCAGGUUGCUGUUCAGAAUUUAAUUUGAUCACAAGAAAUAGAAGAGAAAUGAAAAAGAUGCUGCAGAAGCAGCGAUUCACUCUCAGGAGAAAACAAAGAGAAUGGAGAUGAUAAAGAUGCUGCACAAGCAGCGAAUCACUCUCAAAGAGACAAAGGAUUUCACUCUCCAUUCCGGAACCCUAGACACCAGAGAGUAUUGGAGACUAUAAAUAUAUGUCAUUUAGGUCGUUUUUAAGGAGAGAAGAAGAGAGACGAAAUACUUUACAGAAAUUUUACUUUAAGCUUUGUUUUUAGGUUUUAGGGAGAGAGAGAUCUGUCUCUUGAACCCUUGUUCUUUCUAAUAACACCGUAUUUUGACCACUUUUAUGGAUCGUUUUGAAAUACCUUUUCUAUGUUUUUAAUUGCUUUUAAGUACUUUUAUUACGUUUUUUCUAGUAUUUGUAGUUCCAAGACUCUUUUCAGGUAACUUAGGGAAAAGCUUAACAAAAUGGAUAGAAAACCAGAUUUCAGCUCAUAGUCAAACUGUCAGAAGUUCACCCCUGAUUGAAGGCCUUCUCACCGUCUGAUCCAGCUCAAAUUUGGAGACCUUAAAGAUGGAAGUAUCAGCUUUCCAGCACACUUUACAGCUUGGAAAUCCAACGGUUCAAUCAAAAGAUACGUGAAGAGCAAGAUGUCCCGUAAACCAGACGGCAAGCAACUCCACCCGCGGCCAACAGGCAAUUUCCCGCGGUCAGAAGCAUCCCGACCGCGGCAAACCACUUAUUCCCCGCGGUCACACUCGUCCCGACCGCGGCCAGCCAACUCCGAGCCCAAAAGCCCAUUUCUGAAGUGAUGUGAUCCUCCCAAGGAUCGACACUCAGAAGCUUGGUAAGAGAUAGAUAAGAGACAGAAGUUUGCGGAAUAGACUUCUGUUUAAAGAGAUGAACAGAUAAGGUUACUGUUCAGAAUUUAAUUUGAUCACAAGAGAUAGAAGAGAAAUGAAAAAGAUGCUGCAGAAGCAGCGAUUCACUCUCAGGAGAAAACAAAGAGAAUAGAGAUGAUAAAGAUGCUGCACAAGCAGCGAAUCACUCUCAAAGAGACAAAGGAUUUCGUCCAGGUUUGAUAAAAGAAAGAAAGAGUUUUAUUUGAUAAAAGUUUGAUGAUCCAAUCCAGGAUGAGUUCUCAUAAGAGAUUACAAGAUUAUUUAAAGAGAAGAAAUGUAGAAAAACAAAGCAAACUCAAAAAUGACAAGAAAAUAAAUGCAAAGUUUGAAUAACUCUUCAAGUCACUUCUCCAGCCUCUUGAACUUCCCUUGGACGAAAUUUGUCUUGGGCUUAAGUCCUUGAAUCAACAAUUGGGCCUUGAGAGAAGUAGACACCAUUGCCUCCUUAAAAAACUUCCUUUGGAAAACCCAUUGGGACAAAACCAAAGGUAAGGGAAAAAGAGUACAACUGGGCCACCUACCCAAUUGUUGAUCUACCUGAGCCUGAAUCAAAACCAGUGUGGUUUUUAAUCCAUCUUCUCCAGCCUGGCUCAAGCGAUCAUCUUUGUUCCAUAGAUAAGUAGGUAUCUCGCCAAUGCCUUCUUUGAGCUUAUUAGCCUUUGCUCCUUUGUUUUUAGACCAAUAUCUGUCAGCUACAAGCUGAUCCUUAGCUCCAUGCUCUGGUUCAAGCUCUCCUUUCUUGAUACUGCUGAGUAUCACAUCAUGAAGCCCACAAUGAUUCCCUCAUUUGGAGAAACCCUAAGUGACGUCCAGAGAUGUCUUGAGCACUAUAAAUACAUGUUUUAGGAACCCUAAUCGACAAUCGGAGAAUAUCAUCUAUCAUUACUUCAUAUUUUUCUUAUUGUUUUUGCUUUAGCUUUUAGGGAGAGAGAAAUUUGUUCUCUUGAACCCUUGUUCUUUCUUUUUCAAUUUCGGUUUCUAUUCUACUUAUUAAUACUAUGUUUUUGAUUUCGUUCAUUAUUUCUGAGUAGUUUUAUUGUUGGGAUUAAGGGAUUUUCGAUGGGGAUUUAUAUGUUCGAUGAGGAUUCCAUUAGCUUUUGAGCCGAAUCUUAGAACUUUUUCUUCUGAAUUUAUUUUUACUGCAUGAGUGUAGCGUCAUGAACUACAAUCUGAUCCAGAUGCUUGGUGACACAAAAGUGUUCAUCCGGUAUCAGAUCUAGUUUGGGAGAGCAAAACAAACAAAGGAGUGGAAACCUACCUAUGGGCGAUUUGUGAAUGCUGACGAGUCUUAAACAUAAUGCAUCUCUUCUCUUCUAGGGCCAGAGUGGAAACCUACUGGUCAGGGUUGAGAGAGAUAGUUGUCAAUGAUCACGACAGUAGCGUACUCAUACGUCUGUGACUCCAGUUCGAAAAGUUUAAGCUAAGAUCUUAUCAAUUUUACUCUCUAGCAAUGUUUUGAAUCAUUCGUACCCAUGAGAAAACUUCCCUGAAGCCCAACGCCUUCUUUCCUAUAGAUUCACACCGUUUUUAUUUCAAGCCUUAGUUCAAUAUUUCUUUUUUAGUAGAUUUUAAUUUAAGAAAUUAGAAUAUCCGUUUUUCUCAUUUUUAUUUAUUUUCGUUAAGUUUAGUUAUUAGGUCAUUUAAUUCUCGUAUUCUCUUUUAAGAUUUCUUUUUUACAUUUUAAACACGCUACCAAACCCCCACAAAACCGUUUUGGUUCUAGACUUCCUUACUUUAUACUUAUUUCAAAGGCUUUUUGCAGGAAAAGAUCCUCCUUCCCUGUGGAUUCGAUCCCUAAGUACUACAAUUGAUCAGCUGUGCACUUGCGGCUAUUGAUUUCAUUUAGGGUAAAACUUGACAACCCUCGACACUCACACCGACACCCACACAUCAAGUUUUUGGCGCCGUUGCCGGGGAUGGCACGCGUUUUCUUUUCCGCAAAACCCCGAGAAAGGUUGGUAAAUCGACUCUAGAACCCCCUUUUCUCCAUUUUUCAUUUUUUGGUUAUUUUGUUUCCAUUUCAGAAGAUAUGGAUCCUAUAAAUCGAAAUAUACGCUAUGAGGAAUGUUUCUAUAACACUCCUCAGGCCACCAGAUGCAGAGAGAAGCAGUAUCUGCGAGAUCUCUACGAAAAAACUCAAAGUAAAGACUACAUAACGUUCCAGAAGGAGCCAUACGCACCUCAAAUGGCCAACCCUGAAUAACCUGCUCGUCGUUUGCCUAACCAGGAUGAAAACGUCCAACUCAUUCACCGAUUGGAACUGCUAGAAGUGGCGGUCUCGCAAUUACUCGACGUUCAAGCAAGAUCUAGAUCCACAAUCGACGAGAAAAUUGACGACUUGUCAAUGCGCUUUAACAGAAAGCUUGAAGAUCUUUCAGCUCAAGUAAAGACCAUCGAAACUCAACUAAACAAGGGUGCUGAAACCGUUCAGGAGAGGAUAGAAGCAAUCGAAGAACGAGUUGGAGAACACGAAGUUCGCAUUCGCACCGGUGGGAACAUCCGCACCUUAGAGAUCAAACUUAAUGAAGCAGAAGAGACUAUUAACGACCAUAACAACCAAACUUAUUCCUACUUGACUUUUGCACUCUUGAGUCUCAUUUAGCUUUGUACAUAUGAUAAAAUUGCAUCAUUCUAGUUGCAUCUCGCAUUCUAAGAUCGAGUCUAGCUGCAUCAUGUAGGAUUGCAUCUGUGCAAGGAGCAAUGAUAGAUUUUUUCGUAGAGAGUAAAUCACUUGAGAACUUGAACUAAAUAUGCUUGUGAAACUCAUUCUGUGCUUGUAAAGCUUGAAACGAUUUGAAUCUGAGAAGCAAGUUUGAAUUACACUCAACUCUAGCUAAGUGAUAACCCUGAACUUGAAUUGUAAAUAUCUUUUGAUGCAUUGCUUGAAUAGGCUUGUGGAUACCGAUAUACAUACUUGAGCUAGAAUCGUUGUUUUUACCACCCUCCUUCCUGAGCUCAAGUAGCUGAAUCCGCAUCAUGGAUCAGUUCCCUCACCUUGAACCCACCUUUCUUUCGAGCCAAUGUUUGUGUGUGAAUUGUAAGGCUACCUUGGACUGAACUUAGCAGAAAGUGUUAGGUUUAGAGCGACAAGGGCAUGUCUCAUUGAGUGUUAUGUUCCAACAUCAAGGAACUGAGAGUGUUGGCGAGGAAUAAGUGUGGGGGAAAAGACUUGUUGGUGAGUGGAAAAAGGUGAGAUGAGUGGAAAAGAGAAAGUGGAAAUAGCUAGGGGAAUGAAAGAAAAAGAAUUGAGUCUUGGAUUUGAAAAGAUGAGCUCUGCUGCUUUUAAAAGAAAAAUUUAGUCUUUGAAAUGAAAAGAAGCCAAAAAGGCUCAAGUGUUCUAAAAUGAAAAGAAAAGAGACUAUUCGCUAUGAAAGAAAAGAGCUGUGUGAAUAAGUGAACACCAAGGCUUGAGAAUUAAAGCAAAAGAGAGUCCCCUAGUGAAAAGAAAACGAUUGAGAAGAGUGAGGAUCUUGAGAGGGUGAGCAAGUGAGAAAGCUUUGAGUGGAGUGUGGGGUGUGAUGAGUCUUGCCCUUGUAUGCAUCGGUUGCUUUUUACCUUUAGCAUUCUGCCAAAGUUUGGUCGUUCAUAGAGAGAUCCCUUGCUGCAUUACACCGCUUGAAUAUUGAUGAGAUCAUUUUUAUCUCAUGACCUUACCCUAGCCAAGCCAGCCUAUUUGAACAUUGCAUCAUUUGAUUCACCGGUUACGAACUUAAUGAAUAUGAAAGAGUUGAAUGUGAUAAUGACUUGUGGAGAUUCCGUGCUUUAGUUGGAAAAUAUCUGAGUAUAGCUUUGCAUUGCAUAUUUGAGCAUGAAUCCGAGUUCUCUUUGUGAUCACUUCUCUCUAAAAAGGAGAUAUGAGCUCCAUCUGCACUACAACCUCUUUCUCUCAUUUGUUCUCUUCCCUUGAGGACAAGCAAAGGACAAGUGUGGGGGAGUUGAUAUGUCUAUAUUUUACAUCAUUUAGAGUGCAUUUUAGAGUCCUCAUCAUGUGUUUUCCCAGGUAAAUUGAGUCUUUAGGCAUCAAAAUAGGGUUUAGGGCUUGCAUUAGGUCCCAAAGAGUUUUGCAUGUUUUGAAGUCUUUAUCAGGUGCUUUGGAAGUCAUUUGGAGCUUAAGAAGAGGAGCAGAGAAGAAAACGGUGAAGAAAAGGGUCAAAAAUGGUGAAAACCGCUUGGAGGAAUUUCUCGGCCAAAACUCGUACCGGCUGGACAGAAACCUCGGUCAAAAAGCUUACCGAACGCUCAUUACCGACCAAAACCCUUACCGAUCGACCAAAAUCAGCCUGGGUCGAGUAUCGGGUGCAAAAUACCACGGGUUAAGUUUUUGGCCGAGGCGAGAGAAUUUUACGACUAAAAAGCUUACCGCGGUACAUAGCCCUCGGUCAUUUUCCUUACCGCGGGAAGCUUUUCUCGACCAAAACCUGUCUUUGCCCGCGCAAUUCAAAGAUCAGCAAUCCCGGGAACCUUCCGGUCCGAAUCAGUUGGCGGGGUCUUUAUCAAACUUGGAGAGAAUCAAGCAAAGAUUCCAGAGCAGUUGGAAUCAUCCAAUUCGGACCAGUGAGGAGAAAGAUACAGCUUCCGGAAGAUGCACCAGCAUUACGCGCAUCCGAGAACCGAACGGCGGAUUCCAAAGAUCACGGCGGACGGAGCCUUUCUGGACCAAACUAGCCUGCCCUGUCUUCAUCAAAGUUUGAGAUAUAUGAAGGACCUUUUCAAAACAGUUGGAAUCGCUCAGUUCAGAGCAGUGGUUCAAAAGAUAAGGUCUCCGGAGUUCACAUUGGUUCAAAAGCUUAUUUUCCGGUGAAUCCGAUGCGGUGCAAAGAUGUGAAAUCCAGGAAGCCUUCCACUUCCCAAGCUCCGACGGUUCCUUCUGUUGGUCCAAAAGAAGCUUGUACACCUCGCUUUCCUCGUUCAAAUACCCGUGGUCGCUUUGUUCUCGUGUCAAGACCACUUGUAACGGAUCUUCUGCGUUUAACUCUUCUAGGAGCUCAUCAGCUAGCUCCUCCAUUACCUCCACAUAGAAAACCUGACCUCCAAUGGUCGGUUUCUUCAUCAUUUCCUUCACGUUGAACUUCAUAGUCUCGGAACCGAUGUGUAGUUCAAUCAUGCCCCCUCUCACAUCAAUUAUGGCUCCUGCGGUCGCAAAGAACGGUCGGCCCAAGAUAAUAGGGUCUAAUGGUUCCUCGUCCAUUUCAAGAACUAUGAAGUCCGUGGGGAUUUCUAUCUCACCGAUCCUCAAAGGUAAAUCCUUAAGCAAACCCACCGGUAAGCGAACCAAUCUAUCAGCUAAUACAAGAGAGAUCUUGGCCGGCUUGUAGCUUUUGUAUCCCAAUCUCUUGGCCACCGUGUAAGGCAUUAAGCUCACAGAAGCUCCUAGGUCACACAAGCAGUUUGAGAACUUCAAGUGACCUAAAGCACACGGUAAAGUAAAGCUGCCCGGAUAGGAUAGCUUCCUUGGUAUAGAUCUUCUUUGUAUUAUGGCGCUGCACUCAUGGCUCAGUAUUACCAUACCCUGGAGCUCCUUUAUCUUGUUGAGGAUUGCAUCCUUUAGAAACUUUCCAAGCUGAGGUAUAGCUAAGAAAGCAUCUAUGAUGGGUAAGGUAAGUUGCGUGUUCUCCAAGUGUUUCUCAAAGACCGCCUUGGCUUUGUCUAAGAUUUUCUUUUUGAAACGCCCUGGGAAUGGUAUCUUGGGUUGGUAAGGUGGUGGUGGAACGUAUGGCUCUUCAAGCUCAGUUGUCUUUUCCACCUCUUUUCCUUUGUCCAUGAUCGUUUCCUUCUCAAAAACCGCUUCUUUACACGCAUCAUCUGAGGCUGCCUCCCCCUCGGGAGGUUCUUUUCCCACUGGUGAGCUUUAUCACCGAGGCUGAAUGGGAACAAGCGUAGCUUGAAGCUAUCUUCCGAAACGCCAUUGAUCUUGGUUAAGUCGAAAACUUGAUCAAACUGAUCUAGAUGCUCAAGAGGGUCUUCUCCGGCUAGACCGUGAAACUUUGAGUUCUGCACCAUAUUGAGCAAGGAAGCUUUAACUUCAAAGUUGUUAUUCUGAACCGGUGGAGCUUGAAUCCCGGUUCGGUAUUGGUGCGCAUUAGCUCGGUCGUUCUCUCCAACAAAGACCGGAGGAGGUUGUCUCUGAGCUUGUGGCGGUGGCAGAUGAACAUGAUGGGCUUGUUGCUCGUUCCUAUUAGCUUGUUGUUGGUUUUGCUGAGUGAGCCUCUCGUUUCUUUGAGCCUGUUGUUGAUUAACAUAGGCUUGUUGUUCAUUUCUUCCUGCCUGCGCCUGAUUAGCCUGAGCCCGGUGCUCGGCUUCUUGAGCCUGUUGCUCGAUCCUUUGCUGUUCUGCCAUUCCAAGUCUUUCAAAGUGUCGUUCUCUCUCACGAGCUCGCCUCUCAAUCCUGUUGAUGUUAUUGUCGUACGGUAAAGGCGGUUCUGUGCUACGAGACCUGGUUUUCAUGCACCUGAAAUCAAAACAAGAACUUGCAAAAGAGUCAGUAAAACAAAAGAAAGUAAAGUCUUGAUCUUAAGAACAAAUAAGAGAAUAAUGCUCCCACAAGUUGGCAACGGCGCCAAUUAGAGGGGGAGGCAGCCUCAGAUGAUGCGUGUAAAGAAGCGGUUUUCGAGAAGGAACCGAUCAAGGACAAAGGAAAAGAGGUGGAAAAGACAACUGAGCUUGAAAAGCCAUACGUUCCACCACCACCUUACCAACCCAAGAUACCAUUCCCAGGGCGUUUCAAAAAGAAAAUCUUAGACAAAGCCAAGGCGGUCUUUGAGAAACACUUGGAGAACACGCAACUUACCUUACCCAUCAUAGAUGCUUUCUUAGCUAUACCUCAGCUUGGAAAGUUUCUAAAGGAUGCAAUCCUCAACAAGAUAAAGGAGCUCCAGGGUAUGGUAAUACUGAGCCAUGAGUGCAGCGCCAUAAUACAAAGAAGAUCUAUACCAAGGAAGCUAUCCGAUCCGGGCAACUUUACUUUACCGUGUGCUUUAGGUCACUUGAAGUUCUCAAACUGCUUGUGUGACCUAGGAGCUUCUGUGAGCUUAAUGCCUUACACGGUGGCCAAGAGAUUGGGAUACAAAAGCUACAAGCCGGCCAAGAUCUCUCUUGUAUUAGCUGAUAGAUCGGUUCGCUUACCGGUGGGUUUGCUUGAGGAUUUACCUUUGAGGAUCGGUGAGAUAGAAAUCCCCACGGACUUCAUAGUUCUUGAGAUGGACGAGGAACCAUUAGACCCUAUUAUCUUGGGCCGACCGUUCUUGGCGACCGCAGGAGCCAUAAUUGAUGUGAGAGGGGGCAUGAUUGAACUACACAUCGGUUCCGAGACUAUGAAGUUCAAUGUGAAGGAAAUGAUGAAGAAACCGACCAUUGGAGGUCAGGUUUUCUAUGUGGAGGUAUUGGAGGAGCUAGCUGAUGAGCUCCUAGAAGAGUUAAACGCAGAAGAUCCGUUACAAGUGGUCUUGACACGGGAACAAAGCGACCACGGGUAUUUGAACGAGGAAAGCGAGGUGUACAAGCUUCUUUUGGACCAACAGAAGGAACCGUCGGAGCUUGGGAAGUGGAAGGCUUCCUGGAUUUCACAUCUUUGCACCGCAUCGGAUUCACCGGAAAAUAAACUUUUGAACCAAUGUGAACUCCGGAGACCUUAUCGUUUGAACCACUGCUCCGAACUGAGCGAUUCCAACUGUUCUGAGAAGGUCCUUCAUAGAUCUCAAACUUUGAUGAGAACAGGGCAGGCUAGUUUGGUCCGGAAAGGCUCCGUCCGCCGUGAUCUUUGGAAUCCGCCGUUCGGUUCUCGGAUGCGCGUAAUGCUGGUGCAUCUUCCGGAAGCUGUAUCUUUGUCCUCGAUGGUCCGAAUUGGAUGAUUCCAAAUGCUCUGGAAUCUUUGCUUGAUUCUCUCCAACUUUGAUGAAGACCCCGCUAACUGAUUCGGACCGGAAGGUUCCCCGGAUUGCUGAUCUUUGAAUUGCGCGGGCAAAGACAGGUUUUGAUCGAGAAAAGCUUCCCGCGGUAAGGAAAAUGACCGAGGGCUAUGUACCGCGGUAAGCUUUUUAGUCGUAAAAUUAUCUCGCCUCGGCCAAAAACUUAACCCGUGGUAUUUUGCACCCGAUACUCGACUCAGGCUGAUUUUGGUCGAUCGGUAAGGGUUUUGGUCGGUAAUGAGCGUUCGGUAAGCUUUUUGACCGAGGUUUCUGUCCAGCCGGUACGAGUUUUGGCCGAGAAAUUCCUCCAAGCGGUUUUCACCAUUUUUGACCCUUUUCUUCACCGUUUUCUUCUCUGCUCCUCUUCUUAAGCUCCAAAUGACUUCCAAAGCACCUGAUAAAGACUUCAAAACAUGCAAAACUCUUUGGGACCUAAUGCAAGCCCUAAACCCUAUUUUGAUGCCUAAAGACUCAAUUUACAUGGGAAAACACAUGAUGAGGACUCUAAAAUGCACUCUAAAUGAUGUAAAAUAUAGACAUAUCAAGUACACAAGGUUCAAGACAAAGCAGAGGAAAUAUACUCAACCGUGGACAAAGUAGUCUAUGCUCUCGAUGAAAUCGAAGAGAAGGUCGAAAAGCUUAUGCAAGGACGUGAAACGAAUGGUUCGACGCUUCUCAUCGAAGAUCUUAGCCUAAAAGAGGAGAAAACAAAGUUAGAAUGUGCAGAAAUCAGUUCAGAUGACGGAGGAGCAGACGAAACGGAGAAAACAACUCGGAGCCUCCUUCCACGAGAGUUCCGACCGCGGCCAACAAGCUUCCAGCCGCGGUCGUGAGCCUCCUGACCGUGGCAAAAUCCUCCCCACCCGCGGUCGUGAAGCCUCUACCCGCGGCAAAUGCUCCGUCAGAUACCUUUCAGCCCUUUUCCACUCCUACAGGUCAAUGCUUAUUUGAUACAUCUGCUGGGAUGGUCAAAGCCCCUCUUCAUGAGCAAACGGUGUAUGCUAUCAGCUCCAAAACAUCUCAAGAAGAAAAUGAGGUACUCCCUUGCAACAUAGUUCUAGCAUAUGAGGAUGAAUAUGAAGGACCCUACCUCGAAGAUGAAGACUAUCGUCUGUUCAUAGAAGGAGGGAAUCCAGAAAAAAUGGUGGAAUUAGGAGCACCAAUCUCCAGAGAAAGGCUCAUUGAAUUCAACAAGUUUGUGAAAUCGAUCCCUCUUUACACAGGUUUCGAUGAUAUAUGGCAUCUUGGUUGUUUGCAAGUUUUCUUUAGGUACAGCAAGGAGACAAAGGAGGAUAUCAGAACCUAUUUUGGGAGGGCCAGACGUCUGACUUUUCCAAGAACAUCCCCUGAUGCUGCUGUUUAUUCAAUCCACCUCCAAAGACCGGAAGACUGCAGCCACUACACCAACAAAAUCAGCAAAGAAAAGCUUGACGAAUUUAAUGAUGUGGUUCAAAAUUUGCCUGAAGGAAUCACGUUUGCAAGAGCUUGCAAGGACUUCAUGAUAGGCCAUUACUUCUGUGAGAGCAAAGAAUCAAUCCCUGAGAUAGAAGAUUUUUUCAACAAUGCAAGAACAGGUAAACCUGUUCGAACACUUCAUAAAAUAGAAGGUGUAGGUCAGUUUCUUAUCUCUUGUUCUAUUAGAGGAGAAAUGUUUAAAAACGUGCUAUAUGAUUCUGGAGCUUGUCUUAACAUGAUGUCCAAGGCAAUUGCUUUGAGACUUGGUAUCAAACACCUGCGCAGGACUAGAGCAAAGAUUAGUCUAGCUGAUGAUUCUAAUGCAACACCUCAAGGAAUAGCUCAUGAAAUUCCUUUGAGAAUAGGAGAUUGCAUAGUGCAUGUCGACUUCUACAUUGGCGAGACGAGAGAUGCAACAUAUCCAGCAAUUUUCGGAUGGUCUUUUCUAGCAACUUCCGGAGCUAUAAUGGACUGGCUAAACCGGAGGAUUUCAUUUGCUAAUAUCGACAAAGAUGUCUUCACAGAAGCUGUUCCAUACAACAGCAAAGCAGGAAAACGUUUUGCAGCAGAAGAGUUUGAAGAAGAACUUUGGAGUGACGAAGAACCUGCUAAGCAAAGCAAGGAGAUGUCGAAAAAGUCUUGUCUUAGGACAAGGUCUUCUUCAUCAGACUGAGCAACGUCCAAAACCAAAAGUCGAGCUAAACGACUUAAAACAAAAGCGCUUAAUGGGAGGCAACCCAUUUAGGUAUUGUUUUCUUUAAGACUUUUCUUUCUUUUUCUUUUGAUCUUUUUCUUUUUCUUAGUUUCAGGUGUUUCUUAUAAAACAAAAAAGCCAAAAAAAUCAAAAAACCCGACUCAUCGACCGCGGCCAAGCACUUGGUUGCCGCGGUCGCGCGACCCCUGACCGCGGCACUUGGUCAUUGACAUCCAAACCCGACCCCAAACCACCCACUUCACCUCAUUUCACCUUACCAAUCCCCACUCCACCUCCUUCAUCACUUCCCACCACCUUAAUCACCCCCUAUCACCUUCCCAAACCCCUUCAAAUGAAUCUGGUUCAUCUCCACCAGCAUCCCGGAUCCAGGUAAGUUUUCUUUGUCCUUACCAAUUCGAUUAUCUAUGCAUUUUUCUCAUCCAAUCUCGACUUGUUUCACACUGAGUCUGGGGGAGGAUUUCAUCCCUUUCUAACCACUUUUCUUUCAUGAGUCUUGCAUUAUCUACACUCUUUGCAUUUUCUUUAAAGUUUUUCAAAAUCGGUUUUCAAAACAAAAUACAUUUUAAAGGGAUGGUGAACAUGAAUAGAUGAUAGUUGACUGUGUGCUUUUAGACUGUUCCUAGUGACAUGCUCAUUCAUGAUUUAGGACUAGACUAGGCGGUAGCUAAGCACAUUUGAAACGAAGUACCCCAGAGGAAUUUGAAUGAUUUCGAUUUAGAUGAAGGGAUACACUAGCUCUGUUUUAUUUGGACUUAAUUUGGACUUAACUUUUUCAUUGAAGCAUCAGACCAGGGAAACGAAUCAUACAUUCAGGACUCCUUUAUCCUUUUACCACUCUCUGUUGAUCCUGAAUGGCUAGUUCAUCUUUAGCUAGUUCCCCACCUUAACCAAUCCUCUUUCAAACCACAUGCACUCUUGUUUUCUAUUGUCUUAUAUGCAAAUAAGUGCAAAAACGUUGGAGAGAAAGAGGAACGACGCAGUUUUCAGUCACAAAGGACAGAGACCUGCGAUUUGCCGGAAAAGUUCCCGGAAUGAUUCAACACAAGAGGAAGCUCAGUUUGCCUUAGAAAAAUCUCAAAUUUUGGUACAAUCUCGUCAUCAAGUCUCUCUCUCUUUAAAAGGCAUUUCCUUUCACAAAAAAAAAAAAUCCGAAAAUAAGAAAAGAAAGGAAAUAAAAGCCUAGGAGAGUCUAGAGAGGUCGAAUUUUAAGUCCCAAGGCAACUGGAGUUCGAUUUUAUGGAGUUUUGGAGAUUGUUUUCUGAUUCCCGGAAAGAAUCUAAGUCUGGGGGAACAGCUGUUUAAAACAAAGGAGGAAGGAUUAUGCAACAACAUUUGGAAAGAAGAAGUGACUGAAAACUGUAGUCAUCAACAGGUCCUUAUCUCUCUUGCGGUUCUGCAUAUUAUCUUGCAUCCUCCAGAUCUUCAGGUAACCUGAAACACUUUAACUCCACCACUUAAACAGCCCUUUAAUGCCAAACGCCGUCUACACUGGAUGAUGUCUUUAAUGAGAACUCACUAUUGAACUUAAUGAAUGUAGAGAGCUAAUUGACUGGAAUCAAGAUUUAUAUUGUUUAAGUUUUGCAUGACGGAAAAAGUGGACUAGUAUCUCUUGUGCAUUGGUGAGAAUUUUCUAGACUAAGUUGUGGAUUGAUGCACUAUCUUUGGUCCUAGUUUAGGAGUUCAUGUCUAUGAGAUUUGUGCAUUCCCUAUUUUUGUUUUCACUUAACCAGUUUAGGCUUUUGCUUUGUUUGAGGACAAACAAAGGUUUAAGUCUGGGGGAGUUGAUAACACCGUAUUUUGACCACUUUUAUGGAUCGUUUUGAAAUACUUUUUCUAUGUUUUUAAUUGCUUUUAAGUACUUUAAUUACGUUUUUCUAGUAUUUGUAGUUCCAAGACUCUUUUCAGGUAACUUAGGGAAAAGCUUAACAAAAUGGAUAGAAAACCAGAUUUCAGCUCAGAGUCAAACCGUCAGAAGUUCACCCCUGAUUGAAGGCCUUCUCACCGUCUGAUCCAGCUCAAAUUUGGAGACCUUNNNNNNNNNNNNNNNNNNNNNNNNNNNNNNNNNNNNNNNNNNNNNNNNNNNNNNNNNNNNNNNNNNNNNNNNNNNNNNNNNNNNNNNNNNNNNNNNNNNNNNNNNNNNNNNNNNNNNNNNNNNNNNNNNNNNNNNNNNNNNNNNNNNNNNNNNNNNNNNNGGAACCCUAAUCAACAAUCGGAGAAUAUCAUCUAUCAUUACUUCAUAUUUUUCUUAUGUUUUUGCUUUAGCUUUUAGGGAGAGAGAGAUUUGUUCUCUUGAACCCUUGUUCUUUCUUUUUCAAUUUCGGUUUCUAUUCUACUUAUUAAUACUAUGUUUUGAUUUCGUUCAUUAUGUCUGAGUAGUUUUAUUGUUGGGAUUAAGGGAUUUUCGAUGGGGAUUUAUAUGUUCGAUGAGGAUUCCAUGAGCUUUUGAUCCGAAUCUUAGAACUUUUUCUUCUGAAUUCAUUUUUACUGCAUGAGAGUAGCGUCAUGAACUACAAUCUGAUUCAGAUGCUUGGUGACACGAAAGUGUUCAUCCGGUAUCAGAUCUAGUUUGGGAGAGCAAAACAAACAUAGGAGUGGAAACCUACCUAUGGGCGAUUUGUAAAUGCUGACGAGUCUUAAACAUAAAUGCUGACGCCUCUUCUCUUCCAGGGCCAGAGUGGAAACCUACUGGUCAGGGUUGAGAGAGAUAGUUGUCUAUGAUCACGACAGUGGCGUAUUCAUACGUCCGUGACACCAGUUCGAAAAGUUUAAGCUAAGAUCUUAUCAAUUUUACUCUCUAGCAAUGUUUUGAAUCGUUCGUACCCCUGAGAAAACUUCCCUGAAGCCCAACGCCUUCUUUCCUAUAGAUUCACACCGUUUUUAUUUCAAGCCUUAGUUCAAUAUUGUCUUUCUUUUUUAGUAGAUUUUCAUUUAAGCAAUUAGAAUAUCCGUUUUUCUCAUUUUUAUUUAUUUUCGUUAAGUUUAGUUAUUAGGUCAUUUAAUUCCCAUAUUCUCUUUUAAGAUUUCGUUUUUACAUUUUAAACAUACUACCAAACCCCCACAAAACCGUUUUGGUUCUAGACUUCCUUACUUUAUACUUAUAUCAAAGGCUUUUUGCAGGAAAAGAUCCUCCUUCCCUGUGGAUUCGAUCCCUAAGUACUACAAUCGAUCAGCUGUGCACUUGCGGCUAUUGAUUUCAUUUAGGGUAAAACUUGACAACCCUCGACACUCACACCGACACCCACACAUCAAGUUUUUGGCGCCGUUGCCGGGGAAGGCACGCGUUUUCUUUUCCGCAAAACCCCGAGAAAGGUUGGUAAAUCGACUCUAGAACCCCCUUUUCUGCAAUUUUUCAUUUUUUGGUUAUUUUGUUUCCAUUUCAGAAGAUAUGGAUCCUAUAAAUCGAAAUAUACGCUAUGAGGAAUGUUUCUAUAACACUCCUCAGGCCACCAGAUGAAGAGAGAAGCAGUAUCUGCUGAAAGAAUUUGGUCAGUGCACUCCAAACUUGGCAACACUACCUUUGGCUGAAAGAAUUUGUUAUCCACACCGACUAUCGGUCUCUCAAGCAUGUCAAAGGAGAACAGAAGCUGAACAAGAGGCAUGCUCAGUGGGUUGAGUUCAAAGAGACGUUUUCGUACGUGAUCCAGUACAAGCAAGGCAAGGAAAACGUGUUGGCUGAUGCUUUGUCUCGGAGAUACACCCUGAUCUCGACCAAGAUGCCAAGAUCCUCGGAUUUGAGAUGAUCAAGAACACAUAUGCAACCGAUCCAGAUUUCCAAGAAGUUUUUCUUUCUUAUGAAAAAUUCGCUUAUAGCAAAUAUUUUCAAAGUGAUGGAUUUUGAUUUUUUAUGAGAACUGUUUGUGUUUGUGCAUUCCCAACACAUCUUUGCGAGAUCUUCUUCUCAGGGAAGCACACAAUAAAGGCUUGAUGGGACACUUUGGCGUGGCCAAGACACUUCACAUAGUUCAGGACCAUUUUUUUUGGCUGCACAUGAAACGAGACGUGGACAGGAUCUGUGGCGGGUGGACUACAUGUAAAUUUGCCAUGUCCAAAAGCCAAAAUCAAGGUCUGUAUUCCCCGUAACCAAUUCCUAGUGCACCUUGGAACGACAUAUCAAUGGACAUUGUGUUAGGUCUGCCUAGGUCUUGACGUGGUAGAGAUUCGGUCUUUGUUGUGCUAGAUAGGUUUUCGAAAAUGACUCACUUUAUACCACACCAUAAGACUGAUGAUGCAUCGAACAUAGCUGACUUAUUCUUCAGAAAGUUUGUACGCUUGCAUGGGAUGCCUAUAACCAUAGUCUCGACUAGGGAUAUAAAGUUUCUGAGUUACUUUUGGAAGACCAUAUGGUCUAAGUUAGGAACAAAACUUUGUUUUUCCACUACUUGUCAUUGAUGCGGGUUGUAAAGCGGGGUUUGUUGUUUUCGUUUUACUAAGCUUCAGGUUUUAAAUUUAUAACCCCUAAAUGUCUGCAAGUGCACAGAUGUGCGCUGUAGUACUUAGGGUAUCGAUCCACAGAGACUUAGUUGUUUCAGUACGAAUUCACUGCAACGCUUAAAUCAGAUUAGAACUAAAAGGGUUUUGGUUUUGUGUUUUGGGUUUUUGGUUGUCACUAAAUCUAAACUAGAAAGCUAAAAAAGAAAAAGCAAUUGAAAGUGAAAGAAAAUAAAAGCAAGUAAAAAUCGAUUAUGAAUGAAAGCAGGUAACAAGUAAAUAAAAACAGAAUGGAAAUCUAAGGUUGUAAGCAAUGAAAGACAAACGUUGGGCAUCAAGGGUAAUUCGCAGGGGUUCAUAGUCUAUGCUAGGUCGAUUUUAAACAUAUGAUAAAGGUAAUCAACUACGUAUGUUCUAGAACUCGAGACACGGAAGUAUGAAUAGCCUACUUUCGCAGCACUAAACAACUAUCUCUCGCAACCCUAAUCAGUAGGUUUCCACUCUGAUUCUGGAAGGGAGAAGAUGCAAUAGCAGAACAAGACUCAUCAAUAUUCACAACUCAACUACAGGUAGGUUUCCACUCCUAUAGAAGAUUUGCUCGUUUCACCCUAGUUCAGACAAUCAAGGAAAGCUUUCGCAACAUAUCAUAUCAGAUCGGCUUCUAAGUGGCCAGCAAAGAAUCACGCAGUAAGAUUAAAGGCAAACGAAGAACAUCUAGAAGAUUAUAAAUCCUAAAUCUAUCGAUUCAUAAGCAAAGACACAUGAAAUUCCCUUUGAAAAAUCCCUUUAAACCCAACUGGGUAACUACUCAAACAUAUUGUAACAAAGCAUCAUAAACCAAAUUGAAAGUGCAUGAAACUAAAGAAAAGAAGGAAGAAGAACGAAGAACGGAGAAGCAGAAGGAGGCGCGAUGGUCACUCCUGCGGCGGCUCCUCUUCGAAGACGGCGGCCUCUCUCUCUCUCUCUAGGGUUUGUGUAAGUUUCGGUUCUAUUGGUCUCUCCUCUUUAGAAUGACCUAAAGGGGGUAUUUAUAGCUUCUGGGGUGGUCCUGGACACUUAGGGCUUCAAAAAUAACGAAAGGAAUUGAUCUGGGCUUUAAUUAAGUCGUCGGGAAAGUGAACGACCAAAGUCCGCGGUCGCGGUGGCUCUACCCGCGGGAAAAUGGGUGUUUGCCGCGGUCCCGGCACAUGCUCUCUUCUGGAACUGCAUUUUCUGUCAUUCUUGCAGCGGGAAUAUCUGAAGAUCUAACCGUUGGAUUGUCUCCAAACCAAGUGCAUUAGAAAUCUGGUUGGAUCCUCUAUGUUGUCUCAAAGUUUGGGGGUGAUCAGACGGUGAGAAGGUCUUCAUCGCUUGUCAUACUUCUGACGGUCUGCAUUUAUCCAAAAUUGCUCAUUUGUUCCAAAUUGCAUAUCUUUUGCCCAAGUUUCCUGUAAAGUCUUUUGAAACUCUAAAACAUUGAAAACACUUAAAAAACAUUGAAAAAAGAGUUAAAACACCUGCAUAAGACAUUAUUAUGAUCCAUAAAAGUGGUCAAAAUACGGUGUUAUCAACUCCCCCAGACUUACCUUUUUGUUUGUCCUCAAACAAACUUAAGUCAGGAAAGAAAUUUUUGAAAAAUCGCAGGAACUAAACAAUAUCUCAGUGACCGUCCUUCUAAACCAUAACUUAUCGUGAAACAUCUAUUUGGAUCUAGUCUAGAAAAUUCUCACCAAAAUAGAAGCAAACUAGUCCAUUAAUCCGUAAUGCGAAAAUCUACACACUUAGAUCUAACUUCCAGUCAACUAUCUCUCUACAUUCAUUAAGUAUAGUAGUGAAUUCUCAUCAAAGACAUUAUUCAGGGUAGACGGCGUUUGGCAUUAAGGCUAUUUAAGUGGUGGAGCUUAGGUGUUUAGGGUUACCUGAAGAAUAUGGAGGAUGCAAGAUAUUAUGCAAAAUCGCAAGAGAGAGAAGGACCUGUUGAUGACCGCAGAUUUUCAGUCACUUCUCCUUUGCCAAAUGUUGCUGCAUAAUCUUCCUCCUUUGUUGUAAACAGUUGUUCCCCCAGACUUAGAUCUUUUCCGGGAAUCAUAAAGAUAAUCUCCAAAACUCCAUAUAAUCAGAUCAAGCUUGCCUAAAGUAUAUAAUUCGAUCCUCCUAGACUCUCUAAGGUUUUAAUUUCCUCUCGCUUCAUAUUUUUCUUUUCUUUUUCGGAUUAUUAUUAUUAUUUUUUUUUUUUUGUUGAAAGAGGAAAUAACCUUUUAUAAAGAGAGAGUGUAAGGGACGAAACUGUACCAAGAUUUUAAAGUUUUUCCAGGGCAAACUGAAUUAUCUCCUUUUGUUGAAUCAUUCCAAUGAAAUCGCAUGUCUCCGUCUUCAGUGACUGAAAACCUCGUUGAUCCUCUUUCUCUCUGACGUUUUUGCACAUAUCUGCAUAUAGAACAAUGAAAAACAAGAAUGCAUGUGGUUUGAAAGAGGUUAGGUUCGGUGGGGAACUAGCUAAAAGUGAACUAGCCAUUCAGGAUCAACAAAGAGUGGUAAAAGGAAUAAGGAGUCCUGAAUGUAUGAUUCGUUUCUCUGAUCUAACGCUUUAAUGAGAAAAUUAAGUCAAAAUUAAGUCCAGAUUAAAUGAGCUAGUAUAUCCUGUCAGAAAAAAUCUCCAUGAAUAGAAGUCCUCUAGUGGGAUUUCGUAAUGCAAGUACUUAGCUACCGCCUAGUCUAGGCCUAGAUCACAAAAAGAGCAAAAAACGAGGAAAUAACGUAGAAGCACACUGGUCUAAAUUCAUCAUAGUAAUGUUUAUUGUGUUCCUGGUUUGAAAACUUUUUGAAAGACAUUUUUUUGAAAACGAUUUUUAAAAAUUGUAUGAAAAACUUUUUGAAAACUUUUAUGUGUCCAAAACAAACUGUCAAAUUUCAUUAGUAACGGAUGAACAUCCUCCCCCAGACUUAUUUCACACUGUCCUCCGUGUGAUAAAUCUUGGAAAGAAUGGUAAAGAAAAUAGAAAAGUUGAAAUGUUUAACUGAACUUAUCGUGCUGGAGAGUGCUGCUCGUCUUUUGUGUUUGUUCUUCCUUAUUGAAAACCUGAAAUUAAAUGAAACAGAAACAAAGCAAUGGAAAUAGAAAAUAAAGGUCAAAGGGAAAUAGAUAAGAUACCAAGUGGGUUGCCUCCCACUAAGCGCUUGUUUCAAGUCGUUAGCUUGACAUUGUUGCUCGAUUAGACUUAACCGGGGUCGUGACACUCCUUGAUCUCAUCAUUGGCCAAUGAUGGAUCAAUUAAAAACAUCACUUCUCUUUCGUCUUCUCUUUCUUCAGCCAGAUAUGGCUUUACACGCUGUCCAUUCACUGUAAAUGAGUUUCCGGUUCUGUCCCACAAGAAAAUGGCUCCGUAUGGUUUGACUUCUUUUAUCGUGAAGGGUCCUGACCAUCUUGAACGUAAUUUUCCUGGAAAAAGCUUAAGACGAGAAUUGAAAAGAAGUACCUUAUCGUUAGGAGCAAAAGUUCUAUGAAUGAUUUUUUUAUCAUGAUAUGAUUUUUUUAUCUUCGAGUUUUCAUAAGCAUUGUGUCGGAUUUCUUCUAACUCGGGAAGUUGAAGUAGUCUUCUUUCUCCAGCUGUUUUCAUGUUCAUGUUCAUCUCCUUGAUAGCCCAUUGCGCCUUAUACUCGAGUUCUACUGGAAGGUGACAUGCUUUUCCAUAAACUAGGUUGAAUGGUGUUGUUCCUAACGGUGUCUUGAAGGCUGUUCGAUAUGCCCAUAAUGCAUCGUCAAGCUUUGUAGACCAAUCCUUGCGAUGAACUGCAGUUGUUUUCUGCAAAAUCGACUUGAUUUCUCUGUUUGAGAUCUCUAAUUGACCGCUGGUUUGGGGAUGGUAUGGAGAGGCAACUUUAUGUGUAACUCCAUUCUUUCUAAGAAGAUUUUCGAAAACUCUGUUGAUGAAGUUGAUAUAUUCAUAAAUUGCAUCAUUUAAUGUACAUAUUCUAGUCCAAAUCAUGUCUCAUUUGCAUGCAUUUUAGGUCUUUAAGCAUUGUUUUAGGACUUAGGAGAUUGCAUUAGGUCCAAGAGAGUUUUGCAUGGUUUGGAGUGUUAAACAGGUGCUUUUGGAGCCUAUUUGGAGUGGAGGAUGUGAUUCAGAUGAAGAAAUGGAGUUGAAAUGAUCAAAAAUGGUGAAAAGGAGCAAUUUUGGGUUUCUCGGCAAAAUGAUGUACUGAUGGCCGAAGAUUCUCGGCCAAAAUCCUUCCCGCGGGUAGCUUUCUCGGCCAAAAACACGUACCGCGGUCAAGUGCCAAAAUAUCCGGGUGCAGACACGUUUCCGAAAUCGCCCGCCCGGGAAACCUUCCGGUCAGAUUCAGCUGUCGGAGUCUUCAUAAAAGUUGGAGAUAAUUGCGUCAAGAGUUCAUAACAAUUGGAAUCAAGGCAUUUAGACCACGGAGCUGAAAGAUAUGGUAAUCGGAAGACGAACAGGUCUCGCCCUCAUUCCGGAGCAAUCCGAUAUUCCUGAAUGAUCGCCUGUCCGAGGAACCUUCCGGUCCUAUUCAGUUGGCAGGGGCUUCAUCAAAGUUGGAGAAGAAUGGAUCACGGUUCCAAAGCAAGUAAAAUCAUGGAAUUCGGAGGCGUGAGCAGAAAGUUAAGCACGUCGGAAGAAACUCUUGUCUCGCUGCAAUUUUGGACCGAACCGAUGAGCUCCGACGAAUGCGAAGGACGGUGCACUUCCAGGCCGAUUCAGUUUCCGGGGCUCUCAUGAGAAUCAGAGACAUUUGAGUCCUCUUUCCAGAACGUCCAAGAUAAUUCAAUUCGGAGCUAUGAGUAGGAAGAUACGGUCUCCGGAAUGGACACAUGUCUAGACGCCUCUCUCUGAUCGUGUAAAUGCACUGCAAAGAUGAGCCCUCCAGGAAGCUUUCAACUUCCCAAGCGCCGAAGCUUCCUUCACAAAAGUUGGAGAUAUAUGAGUCCUCUGUCCUCUGCAACUAGAAUCACUCAAUUCGGACAAGUAUCGUAGAAGUUACACUCUCCGGAAUGCGAAGUGGUCCAAGCUGCUCUGAAUGCUGCGAGAAAGCCUUGCGACUUGGUUAACUCGCAGGCCUAAAGACGAAUGCCUGGAAAUUGAUGCUGCGAGUUGAGAAGUGCGGGUAAGCUAUCAAUGGAUGAGGUCUGAGGCUCCCGAGCAAGAAAAUUGCUAAGUCCACAAUACUGCGACUUGGGCGUGCUACCUGGGAAGCAUGAAGAUCAAGUCGCACAUACACUCUCAAUUUACUCCUAGUUAGGCGUGCUACCUGGUGAAAGAGGUCCAAGCCGCAGUAAAAAGAGGAAUGGCCGAGUUGUCUAAGUCAUAAAAGCUGCGGCUUAGUCGUGCUACCUGGGAACAAAGAAGACCAAGCCGCACAAAUGUUCGCAAUUUACUCCAAGUUGGGCGUGCUACCUGGUGAAAGAGGUCCAAGCCGCAGCAGAAAGAAGAACGGCCAAGAUGUCUAAGUAACAAACCCUGCGGCUUAGGUAUGCUACCUGGGAGACACUGGACCAACCCGCAGUAAUUCCACUUUACCCACUAAAGCCGGGUCAGGACCCGGUUUGUUCCGGGCUGACCCGGUUCAUUAGCACUUAGUAUAUAUAGUUUUUUUGGGAGAAAAACCCUACAUGUUAUCUUCUACUUAGUUUUCUCUCUAGUUUUCUUUCCUUUUUAGUGUAAAACGUUUUUGAUUAAGAGAUAUCUGAAGGGAUUUGAUCAUUCCAAGUCUGUUUCUUAUCAUCUCAUCAUCUCAUUUCUACUUCUAAUCAUGAUUAACAUCAUCUCUUGCAAAAGAUUAGAUGUGUUCUUCAUGAUUAAUGAGUAGUCAUCUUUUAAACUUCUACGUGUGUAGAUUAGGGUGCUUAGAUGUUUGAUUGGUGAUGUUUAGGGUUUAGAUUCUCAUUCCAUUUCCUUAGUUAGCUGCUCCUAAUGCCAGAUUUCCUUGGGAAAGUGAAAUCUGGGUUCAUAGGCAUUUCAUGCACCAAAAGUGUUUGAUGAAAUGCCUGAACGAGCUAACUUAAGGGUUUAUGCUUUUUUCUUAAUGCUCAUUGAUUCAUAUUUCACAAAUGAUGACUUGGUUUGAAAGUGGAUUAGUGUAGAGAUUAAUGCCUUCAUGAGAGGAUUAGUUUAGAUUAGAGUUCUAAGUUGAAAUGUUUGAGAUCAUGUGAUUGCUUGUUAUGUCUUUCUGUAUAAGAUUCAGUCUACUUGGUUGAGAGAUUGUUUGGUCACUUAUUAGGCUUGAUGCAUUAUGCUUGCUGAUUGCUUGAUUAUAUCUAAUGGUUGUUAGACUUGAUUAAGUGAUUUGCAAAGGGAUUAUUGUCAUGGGAAUGAAUUAAUCUGAUUAAGAAGCCUAGACUAAAGAGUAGCAAGUGUUGCAUUAUGUUCUUAGCAUCAUGAUUCAAUAUCUAAAGCACCCUAAUCAAUGAUCAAAUCUAGAGGUUUAGCUUUUAUCAUUUGCUUAAUCACCAUCAUCUUGUUUUGUUUGCUUGCUUAGUUCAUUAAUCAUAGCUUGUUUGUUUCUUGUUUUAUGCUUUCUUGUUGCUUGUUUCACAAAACUCAUCUUUGAUUACUUGACUUAAGAACCUAUCACCUAAACUAGUGCCUAACUACCACACAUAUGGAUUGACACCCCUUAUACUACUUUGACAAGGGGAUUGAUAACCCAUCUAAGGCCUUAAAAACCUUAGUUAUCAAUUGGCGCCGUUGCCAUAUUGUGUGGGGAUUGUUAGCAUUAGUUUCUGAUAUAGUUUUUGAGAUCAAGUUUAUUUUGUUUUACUGAUCACCUUUCAAGCUCUGUCUUUGUUUUCAGGUUUAUGAUCACAAGAAGCCAAGCCAGAAGACAAAGAGAAAGAGCUGUUCACUUGGAGAGGUUAGGAAUGAAUCUGCAAGUUGGGAAUGAGCAUCAGGCUCAAGAAGCUGAUCACGGUCAAAGAGCUGGUAAUGGGAUUGGAAUUCAGGCUCAGGUCCAUCAGGGACACGCUCAGGGUAACCAGAACCAAGACCGACCUCAGGUUAAUCCACCACAGCCCCACCUAAACCCACCCAUACGUCAUCAGCCACAACCAGUCUUUGUUGGUGAGAAUGACCGAGCUUAUGCACACCAGUAUGGAGCAGGAAUCAGGCCACCUCCUGUCCAAAACAACAACUUUGAGGUGAAGGCCUCUUUGAUCAAUAUGGUUCAGAAUCAGAAGUUCCAUGGCUUACCUAUGGAGGAUCCCUUGGAGCAUCUGGAUCAGUUUGACAGAGUUUGUGAUCUCACUAAGAUCAAUGGGGUAUCUGAAGACAGCUUCAAACUGAGAUUGUUCCCAUUCAGCCUUGGAGAUAAGGCACAUCAGUGGGAAAAGAACCUCCCAAGAGGAUCCAUCCACACAUGGGAGCAAUGCAAGAUUGCCUUUCUAUCCAAGUUCUUCUCAAGCUCAAGGACUGCAAAGCUAAGGAACCAGAUUUCCAGCUUCACUCAACAUUCUAAUGAGACCUUUGGAGAAGCUUUGGACAGGUUUAGAAGCUACACAAAUAAGUGUCCACAUCAUGGCUUUUCAGAAGCCUCUCUCCUUAGCACUUUGUAUAGAGGAGCUGUUCCUAAGAUCAGGAUUCAGUUGGACACAGCAUCAAAUGGAAAUUUCUUGGCAAAAGAAAUCAAUGCAGCUAUGGAACUUGUUGAGAACUUAGCCAUGAGCCAAGACACUUAUGGGGAAGAUUAUGAUAGAAGCUAUAGAGGAGAAGAUUCUGGUAGACACCAAGAGCUGGAAGAGAAGUUUAAAGUGUUGAAUAUAAAGCUUGACAAAGCCCUAGCUGCCCCUCAAAAGCCUAUACACUAUGUGAGUGAGGAGAAGAGAUGCUUCACAAAUAUCAAUGAAGAGGGUCUCACUCAAGAGGAGUUGCACUUCAUUGGAAAUCAAAACAAGUUCAAUGGUUACAACAACUUCAACAACCACCAGAACUUGUCCUAUAGGAGCAACAAUGUGGCCAACCCCCAAGACCAAAUAUACCCUCCUCAAAGCUUUGUUCAACAGAAUCAGUACCAAGGUAACUCCCAAGGUCAACCAGCGGUUCAGCAACCAGGGUUUUCAGCAACCAGCGGUUCAGAAUCAAGGGAAUAGCUUCACAAAUCAAGUCAGCCUACAGCCAAAGGCUCCACCUCCUGGUUUUGGCCCACCAACUGUUCAACAAAGUCCUGAUUUCAAUGUUCUUCUCCAACAGCUCUUACUAGGACAACAAAAGAUGGUAUCUGACCUGGAGACACUGGGCACUGAACUAAAGUCUAUUAAAAAGAAAAAGGGCAUCUGCACUUCUGAACCACAAGUCUCUCUUCCUGGUAAAGCUCUUCAAAACUCAAAAGAUUAUUGCAAUGCCAUCUACUCCAAUGAGGACCAUUCAGCUGCUGUGCAAGAGAUUGAAGACCUCCUUUAUGGUCAAGUUUUUACUGAGAAUGCACACACUCAAGUAGAUGAGGACACCAUUAUAGAUGAUUUCAUGGGCUUCUUACAUGAACUCAAUGAGGACAUUGAGAGCAAAAGUGUGGGGGCAGCCGGUUCAGUUCUUUCUGUUCAGCAAGGGAAUGAUUCAGUGUCUAUUGAAACAAAGGAGCUGCCAACUGGUCAAGCAAAGCUAACAGAUUGUGCCUCCACCUCUGAAUCAACUCAGAUGAAGCCCACCUCCCUCCCAAAGCUAGGCAACCCAGGGAAGUUCACCAUCUCUUGCACUCUUGGAAACUUUAGAGUUCGGAAUGCUUUGUGUGAUUCAGGCUCAAGUGUGAGUAUAAUGUCUAAAGAUAUGAUGGAGAAGCUAAAGGUCAAGUCUAUAACGUCCUACCCUUCUUCUAUCACCUUUGGUGAUUCCUACUCCAAGAAACCAUAUGGAUUUUUAGAAGACUAUCCACUUCAAGUUGGUGAAUGUGUAAUCCCCACUGAUUUUGUCAUCAUGAAGAUGAAGAAGACCAAAGAGCUCCCCCUAUUGCUUGGAACUGCAUUUCUCAACACCACUGGUGCAAUGAUUGACUUUGACACUCAAAGAGUGGGGCUUACAAAGGUGGAUAAGGAUGCCUUUUACCCUGUUCAACCACCUUUAGCUGAAUUUUGUGGAUCAGUUGUUCAAGAGAUAGAACCCCCUAAGGUACUUGAGAUGAAGUAUGUAGGAAGUGCUGGGAUUUUAGGUGGAUCCCAAUCUCUCUCAGCUGUGGAAAUGGAAAAAGAACCUCACACCAACUCUGUUUACAAGGAUGGGACUGAACAGCCAUUGAUCAGAGAAGAAGACAUCUUGCUCUCAUGGUUUCCUACACUUAGUGAUCUAAGGAUGAUUAGCACCAAAAGUGAUGGCUCAGCAUCAGAAGACAAGAGUAUUAAACCUGAUCUUUCUUCUCAAGACUUUGAUCUCACUCCUUGGGUUGAUGAUGAUGGUUCUCUGAAGUAUAAGCUGGAUUGCAAUGGGAAGCCAGGUCUGUUUGCUGAAGUGAGGGCAUGUCUCACAAGGGCCAUCUUUGAUAAAGACCCAGAUGGUAUUCAAGAGCUGGUGGACAAAGGUCUCAAGGUGGGAUCUCAAGGACAAGGGUCUAAUGGUACCCAAAGGCAGCAAACCAACUCAGCUUUCUUGCUCAGGACCAUUGAAGUGCUGAAGAGCAUCAGUGCUCAACCUCACCCUAGCUGAAAACAGGUUUUUCAAAGUCAAACUUAGUGACUUUAAACAAAGUGCUCUUGGGAGACACCCCAAGCUUAUCCUUGUAUAUAAUCUUUUUAUUCUUUUCUCUCAUUUCUUUUUAUGUUUUAGGAUCUUUUGAUGGGUUUUGUGAGUUGGUCUUAGGUUCUAGGUGAUUUUUGGAGGACAUAGCUCAGUGAUGAAUGGAAUGGAGCAUGUGAGAGAGCUGAGAGAAGUGUUUAAGGACUGAAAAACUUGGAGAACGCCUCAGUGCUACCUAGGUGUGCGGUUUGGAUCAAGAAGAGCCCAGGCCGCAGCAGGACUCGCAAUUUACUCCGGCCUGGGCGUGCUACCUAGUGAAAGAUGUCCAGGCCGCAGCAAAACAAGAACAGGCCAAGAGUUCUAAGUCCCAAACUCUGCUACCUGGUGCUGCGGCCUAGAAACAAGAGAAGCCAACCCGCACAUCCAUUCGCAAAACACUCCAAGUUAGGUGUGCUAGCUGGGAAAAGAGAAACCAGGUAGCAGCAUAAGAAGAUUGGCCAAUUUUCUAAGUAAAAAAACCCUGCGGCUUAGGUGUGCUACCUGGGAAACACAAGACCAGGCCGCAUCAAGGGAGUUCAGGCCAAGCCAAAUCCAUCUCCAGUGGUGUCUGGCCUCAUCUGGUGCAGAUACUCACUCCCCUUUUGCACAAGAACCACACCAGGUAUCACUCCAAACACUUGUACAUGAGCAUUUAGCAUUUUUCUUUAUCUUUUGCAUUUCAUAUUUGAUUUUUUUUCUCUUUCUCAUGCUUUUAUAACUCAAGGGACUGUGUUAUUUAAGUGUGGGGGAGGGGUUUUGUGUUUACUAAUCAUGUUUAUUCUGAUCUUAUUUUCCUUUUCACUUUGAGUCUCAUUUUGCAUUCAUCUAAGUGCAUAUAAAAACCAAAAAAAUGGAAAAAUCUGAAAAAAUUUUCACAAAAAAAUGCUCAUGUAGUUGCAUUCACAUUUUAGGUUGAGUCUAGUUUGCAUUUUCAUAUAGGUUUGCAUCAUAUGCAAAUGGGAGUAAUGAUAGGUUCUUUCCUUGAGAGUACAUCACUUUGAGAAUUUGGAUUAAAUAUGCUUGUAAAAAGACUUCUUUGCUUGCAAGGCUUGAAAUGAUUUGAAUCUGAGAAGCAAGUUUGAAUUGAACUCAACUCUAAUAAGUGAAAACCUUGAACUUGACUUGAAAUUAUCUUGUGAUGCAUUGUUUGAAUAAGCUUGUGGAUACCUAUAUACAUAUUUGAGCUAGAAUCCUGUUUUUACCACCCUCUUCCUUAGCUCAAAUAGCUGAGUCCACAUCUGGAUCAGUUUUCCUCACCUUGAACCCAUCCUUCCUUCAAGCCAAAUGUUUGUGUGUGAUUGAAAGGCCACCUUGGAUCAAACUUAGCAGAAAGUGUUAGGUUUAGAGCGACAAGGGCAAGUCUCAUUGAGUGUUAAGUUCCAUCAUCAAGGAGCUGAGAGAUUUGGUGAGAACUAAGUGUGGGGGAAUACUUGUUGGUGAGUGGGAAAAGGAGAGAUGAGUGGAAAUAAAAGGAGAAUGGUGAGAACUAGGGGAUAGAAAAAGAAAAGAAAUCAGUCUUGGAGUUUUGAGUCAAAGAAAGUGAGCUCUAGUGUUUGAAAAGAAAAAGUCUAGCCUCUAAAUGAAAAGAAAAGAAAAGAAGCCCAAGAGCUCAAAUGUUUUAAAAAGAAAUAAAAAGAGGCUAGAAGUUACAAAAGAAAGUGAAAAAGCUCUAUGUAAAGUUUCAACUCCAAGACUUCAGUGUGAAAAUGAAAAGUGAGUCCCCUAGUGAGAGGAAAAUGAGUGUGGAAAGUGAGGUUCUUGAGAGGUUGAGCAAGUGAGAAAGCUUUGAGUAGAGUGUGGGGUGGGAUGAGUCCUUGCCCUUGUAUGCAUAGGUUGCUUUUUACCUUUAGCAUUCUGCCAAAGUUUGAUCAUUCAUAGAGAGAUCCCCUUGCUGCAUUGAACCCACUCAGGCGCUGAUGAGACCAUUUUAGUCUCAUUACCUCACCCUAGCCAAACUUUGCUUGUUUGAACAUUGCAUCAUUUGAUCCACUUGGUAAAGGGCUUAAUGAAUGUCACAGAGUUGAGGAAUAAGAGAACUUGUGGAGAUUACUGUUGAGUUGAUACAUCAGAGUAUGGUCUUGCAUUGCAUAUUGAGCAUGAACCUGAAUUCUCUUAGUGGUCACUUUUCUCUUUCAAGAAAAAAAAUGAGCUCCCAAUGCAUUCAACCUUUUCCUCUCAUUUGUUCCUUUUUGCUUGAGGACAAGCAAAGGAUAAGUGUGGGGGAGUUGGUAUAUUCAUAAAUUGCAUCAUUUAAUGUACAUAUUCUAGUCCAAAUCAUGUCUCAUUUGCAUGCAUUUUAGGUCUUUAAGCAUUGUUUUAGAACUUAGGAGAUUGCAUUAGGUCCAAGAGAGUUUUGCAUGGUUUGGAGUGUUAAACAGGUGCUUUUGGAGCCUAUUUGGAGUGGAGGAUGUGAUUCAGAUGAAGAUAUGGAGUUGAAAUGAUCAAAAAUGGUGAAAAGGAGCAAUUUUGGGUUUCUCGGCAAAAUGAUGUACUGAUGGCCGAAGAUUCUCGGCCAAAAUCCUUCCCGCGGGUAGCUUUCUCGGCCAAAAACACAUAUCGCGGUCAAGUGUCUCGGCCAAAAUCUCCGGGUGCAGACACGUUUCCGAAAUCGCCCGCCCGGGAAACCUUCCGGUUAGAUUCAGCUGUCGGAGUCUUCAUAAAAGUUGGAGAUAAUUGAGUCAAGAGUUCAUAACAAUUGGAAUCAAGGCAUUUGGACCACGGAGCUGAAAGAUAUGGUAAUCGGAAGACGAACAGGUCUCGCCCUCAUUCCGGAGCAAUCCGAUACUCCUGAAUGUUCGCCUGUCCGGGGAACCUUCCGAUCCUAUUCAGUUGGCAGGGGCUUCAUCAAAGUUGGAGAAGAUUGGAUCACGGUUCCAAAGCAAGUAAAAUUAUGGAAUUCGGAGGCGUGAGCAGAAAGUUAAGCUCGUCGGAAGAAACUCCUGUCACGCUGCCGUUUUGGACCGAACCGAUGAGCUCCGAAGAAUGCGAAGGANNNNNNNNNNNNNNNNNNNNNNNNNNNNNNNNNNNNNNNNNNNNNNNNNNNNNNNNNNNNNNNNNNNNNNNNNNNNNNNNNNNNNNNNNNNNNNNNNNNNNNNNNNNNNNNNNNNNNNNNNNNNNNNNNNNNNNNNNNNNNNNNNNNNNNNNNNNNNNNNNNNNNNNNNNNNNNNNNNNNNNNNNNNNNNNNNNNNNNNNNNNNNNNNNNNNNNNNNNNNNNNCACAGUUGGAGAUAUAUGAGUCCUCUGUCCUCUGCAACUAGAAUCACUCAAUUCGGACAAGUAUCGUAGAAGUUACACUCUCCGGAAUGCGAAGUGGUCCAAGCUGCUCUGAAUGCUGCGAGAAAGCCUUGCGACUUGGUUAACUCGCAGGCCUGAAGACGAAUGCCUGGAAAUUGAUGCUGCGAGUUGAGAAGUGCGGGUAAGCUAUCAAUGGAUGAGGUCUGAGGCUCCCGAGCAAGAAAAUUGCUAAGUCCACAAUACUGCGACUUGGGCGUGCUACCUGGGAAGCAUGAAGAUCAAGUCGCACAUACACUCUCAAUUUACUCCUAGUUAGGCGUGCUACCUGGUGAAAGAGGUCCAAGCCGCAGUAAAAAGAGGAAUGGCCGAGUUGUCUAAGUCAUAAAAGCUGCGGCUUAGUCGUGCUACCUGGGAACAAAGAAGACCAAGCCGCACAAAUGUUCACAAUUUACUCCAAGUUGGGCGUGCUACCUGGUGAAAGAGGUCCAAGCCGCAGCAGAAAGAAGAACGGCCAAGAUGUCUAAGUAACAAACCCUGCGGCUUAGGUAUGCUACCUGGGAGACACUGGACCAACCCGCAGUAAUUCCACUUUACCCACUAAAGCCGGGUCAGGACCCGGUUUGUUCCGGGCUGACCCGGUUCAUUAGCACUUAGUAUAUAUAGUUUUUUUGGGAGAAAAACCCUACAUGUUAUCUUCUACUUAGUUUUCUCUCUAGUUUUCUUUCCUUUUUAGUGUAAAACGUUUUUGAUUAAGAGAUAUCUGAAGGGAUUUGAUCAUUCCAAGUCUGUUUCUUAUCAUCUCAUCAUCUCAUUUCUACUUCUAAUCAUGAUUAACAUUAUCUCUUGCAAAAGAUUAGAUGUGUUCUUCAUGAUUAGUGAGUAGUCAUCUUUUAAACUUCUAGGUGUGUAGAUUAGGGUGCUUAGAUGUUUGAUUGGUGAUGUUUAGGGUUUAGAUUCUCAUUCCAUUUCCUUAGUUAGCUGCUCCUAAUGCCAGAUUUCCUUGGGAAAGUGAAAUCUGGGUUCAUAGGCAUUUCAUGCACCAAAAGUGUUUGAUGAAAUGCCUGAAUGAGCUAACUUAAGGGUUUAUGCCUUUUUCAUCAUGGGAAUGAUUUGUUAAAUGCAUAAAUGACAUAUUAGAACUGUUUCUUAAUGCUCAUUGAUUCAUAUUUCACAAAUGAUGAUUUGGUUUGAAAGUGGAUUAGUGUAAAGAGUAGCAAGUGUUGCAUUAUGUUCUUAGCAUCAUGAUUCAAUAUCUAAAGCACCCUAAUCAAUGAUCACAUCUAGAGGUUUAGCUUUUAUCAUUUGCUUAAUCACCAUCAUCUUGUUUUGUUUGCUUGCUUAGUUCAUUAAUCAUAGCUUGUUUGUUUCUUGUUUUAUGCUUUCUUGUUGCUGGUUUCACAAAACUCAUCUUUGAUUACUUGACUUAAGAACCUAUCACAUAAACUAGUGCCUAACUACCACACAUAUGGAUUGACACCCCUUAUACUACUUUGACAAGGGGAUUGAUAACCCAUCUAAGGCCUUAAAAACCUUAGUUAUCAGAAGUGCAAUCCUCCGUCGCUUAUCAGAAUUCUAGGAACUCCAAAACGCGGGAAUAUAACAGAUUUAAACAGCUUCAUGACGACUUUUGCAUCAUUGGUGGGACUUGCGACUGCUUCAACCCACUUAGAGACGUAGUCUACUGCUACUAAGAUAUAUUGGUUUCCAAAAGAAGUUGGAAAGGGUCCCAUAAAUAUAUUCCCCAGACAUCGAAAAUUUCGACUUCGAGAAUAAAAUUUUGAGGCAUCUCAUUCCUUUUGCUUAUGUUACCCAUCCUUUGGCAUUUAUCGCAUCGCGAUAUAUAAACUUGAGUAUCUUUGAACAAAGUAGGCCACCAAAAACCAGCUUGCAAGAUUUUUGAAGCGGUUUUGAAGGUUGCAAAAUGUCCUGCGUAAGACGAGCUAUGGCAUCCGAUUAAAAUUCCUUCCAUCUCUUCUUCAGCCACGCAUCUUCGGAAUAACCCAUCACCACAUCUCUUAUAGAGAUAGGUUUCAUCCCAAAAAUAAUGUCUUAUGUCUUUCAGAAACUUUUUCUUCCUAAAACCAAAGAAUUGCGGUGGUUCUACAUCAGCUGCUAGGUAAUUCGCUAUGUGCCUAAACCAUGGGGUGUUGAAAGCAUCUGCUCGUCUCAUCAGAGGACGUGGUGGUGUGGUAUUGGCAUUGGGGGUAGUAUCUAUUGCAUAGAUGUUUUCUUCAGGCAAACUGUCAUUUAGAGGCAAUCUUUCUUCAACUCGAAUUCGUGAAAGAUGGUCUGCAACUCCAUUAUCUGCUCCUUUGCGAUCUCAAAUUUCGAUAUCGAAUUCUUGCAGUAGGAGGAUCCAUCUUAUCAACCGAGGUUUAGCGUCUUUCUUAGACAUUAAAUACUUGAUUGCAGCAUGAUCAGUAUGAACUAUGACCUUAGAUCCUACGAGAUAAGAACGGAAUUUCUCAAAUGCAAAUACGACAGCUAGAAGUUCUUUCUCUGUUGUAGCAUAAUUGCAUUGAGCUUCGUCAAGAGUUCUACUUGCGUAGUAGAUUACGUGCAGUUUCAUAUCUUUUCGUUGGCCAAGCACUGCUCCGACUGCAUAGUCACUUGCAUCACACAUGAUUUCGAACGGGAGUUCCCAAUCAGGUGCUUGCACGACAGGAGCGGAGACAAGGGCUUGUUUGAUCUUAUGAAAUGCGGCUAAGUACUCAUCAUCAAACUCGAAGUUCGUUUCCUUGCAAAGCAAACGCGUAAGAGGUCUAGCUAUUUGAGAAAAAUCUUUUAUGAAGCGCCUAUAGAAUCCUGUGUGUCCUAAGAAACUACGGAUUCCUUUUACGUUUGUGGGUGGUUGUAGGCUGGUCAUGACUUCGAUUUUAGCUUUGUCCACUUCAAUUCCUUUUCCCGAAAUUCUGUGCCCAAGCACGAUUCCGUCUUGUACCAUGAAGUGACAUUUUUCCCAAUUUAAUACUAAAUGCUUAUCUUCACAUCUUUGCAGAACUUUACCAAGGUUGCCUAAGCAUUUUUCAAAAGAAGAUCCAUAGACAGAGAAAUCGUCCAUGAACACUUCCAUGAAAUCCUCAAUAAAGUCUUUGAAGAUCGACAUCAUGCACCGCUGGAAGGUAGCAGGUGCAUUACACAAUCCAAAAGGCAUACGUCGGUAAGCGAACGUGCCAUAUGGACAAGUGAAUGUCGUUUUUUAUUGAUCCUCCGGGCGAAUAGGAAUUUGGAAAAAUCCGGAGUAUCCAUCAAGGAAGCAAUAGUAGGGGUGAUUAGCUAAUCUUUCUAGCAUUUGAUCUAUGAAUGGAAGUGGGAAAUGAUCUUUCCUAGUUGCUGCAUUCAGUUUCCGGUAAUCGAUGCACAUACGAUGUCCAGUUACUGUUCUUGUAGCGAUCAUUUCAUCUUUAUCAUUUUUAAUGACAGUGACUCCUCCUUUCUUUGGAACAACAUGAACUGGGCUAACCCAAGUGCUAUCUGAGAUAGGAAAGAUUAUUCCAGCUUCUAAAAGCUUCAUAAUCUCCUUCUUGACAACAUCCAUGAGAUUAGGGUUCAGUCUCCUUUGACUUUCAUUCGAGUUUUUAGCAUUAUCCUCUAGAUUUAUCUUGUGCAUACAAAGAUCUGGAGAGAUUCCAGGUAUGUCAUCAAGUGAAUAUCCUAAGGCUUUUCUAUGCUUUCUUAACUCAGUCAACAGCAUUGUGGUUUCUUCUUCUGUCAAACCAGAGUUUAUUUUGAAGGAUAAGUAGAAUUUGGUCCAAGGAAGGCGUACUUAAGUCCGAUGGGAAGAGGUUUAAGCUCCACUUUAGGGGCUUUAAGGUCGCUCCAAGGAUCAUUAAUUGCUGCAGCAGUGUCUUUUGGAGGUGUAGGAAUGUUUGUUUGGUCCUUAAGAUCUAUAUAGUGAAGAGGUUUCCUAUAAGUUUCGGACUUAUCAAGCAUACGUGCGCAUUCACUCGAAAUUCCUUCAAGGAAAUUGCGUUCAUCUUUUGCGGGUGAAAGCUUGACACUUAAAGGGUCAUCUAGAAGCAGAUCUUCAUAGACUUCCUCAAUAAUUCCGUCUAACUCAUCAACCCAACAAAUUUUGCCAUCCAAAGUUGGUUUAUCGAAACUUUUGUUCAUGUCAAACUGCAUAACUGAACCGGCUAGAUGAAGGUCGAUUUUUCCUUCAGGAACAUUGAUUAUGGCUCCGGCUGUAGAUAGGAAUGGUCUUCCAAGAAUAAGUGGAUCCUUAGGUUCUUUUUCUAGUUCUAUAACUACGAAAUCGGUUGGUAUGAAACAUUUUUCGAUUUCGACGAGAACAUUUACUAAGAUACCUACAGGUUGUCUAACGGAACGAUCAGCUAGUACUAAAGAAAUCUUAGUGGGCUUGAAAGUGUGAUGUCCUAAACGUUUUGCUACUGAAAGAGGCAUCAUGUUUAUGCGAGAACCUAAAUCACAGAGAGCACGCUCAAAAGCUACAUCAUUGAUGGUGCAUGAAAGUACAAAGCUUCCAGGAUCGUUUUUCUUUUCAGGGAUUCGGCCUUGCAGGAUAGAACUACAUUCAUGGGUUAUCAUCAUAACGCCUUCUUCAAGAGUUAAAGAAUUUGUUAGAAUACCCUUCAUGUAUUUUCUCAAAGCAGGAAUCAUAGCACAAGCUUCUACGAAAGGUAAUUUCAUGUUUAAUUGAUCGAUCAACUCUUUCAGCUUAGCUUUUUCUUUUUCUUUCUUAGGGGCUUUUAAGGCUCUAGGAUAUGGAGGUUUAGGUUUAUAGACACGAGUUGGUGGAGGUGGAAUCGGGUCUUCUCCGAGGAUUUCCCGAGAUGAAUCUUCUCUUACUUCUUCUCCAUCCUUUUCUCCAACCACUUCUUUUUCAACAUCUUCAUUCGUGAUUCUUUCUUUUUCUUUCUCCUUUUCCUCAACUUCGGGAUCUUUAGGAAAUUCUGGCUCUUUGUAAGCUAAUCCACUCCUAAGUGUGAUAGCUUUCACAUGAUCGGAGGGAUCUGCUUCACUUGAGCUUUCGAAAGAAUUUUCACUUAGCUCCUCUUCAGAUCUUUCUAAGUUUUUAGAAUUAGUUUUGACUAUUAUGUUAAGGAGGGUAUCGGAAUCCUUCUGCAUCUCUUUUAGUUCAGAUCUAAGAUCACCAAUCUCUUGAGACAUAGAUUUUUCAAGCUCUAGAAUCUUUUUGUUUAGGUUUUCAGCUUCAGAAGAGGGAAAACUUGGAUAGGAAACAGGAUUAGAUUGAAUAGCCAAGAUUGGUUCGGAAUGUGGUGUCCAACCGGGCUUGGAAGACGUUUUCCCGCGGUCAGGUGGCUCACGACCGCGGUGAUCAGAAACGAAUGGAACAUCAUGAAUUUGAUAUACUUCUGCAGUGUUCAUCAUCCCUUGAUCAUAAGAAUCCAUUUGGUUGUUCCAGCCAUCAAAGUUACACGUAUUGUGUACCCUAUUUGGUUGUUGCAAUCCAAGAUGACUCAUUAUGUGACGGAGACACUUUAUAACUUCCGAGAUCUCUUCUUUCUUCUCAGGAAGUGCAGAAUUACCAAAGGUUACUUGAUUUCGGAUGCUGUUUCCUAAAUUUUUAAUGAAAACGUGAGCAUCUUCUACAGAUCUAGUUGUGAAGUCUCCAUUACUUGCUAUAUCAAAAGAGUGUCGCAACUCUGGAGUUAUACCGCGAUAGAAGAUAUUUAGCAGGUAUUCCUCGGCAUAUCCAUGGUGUGGACAAUCUCAUUGGUAUUCCCUAAAUCUUUCCCAAGUAUCUAAAAGAUCUUCAUCUUCUUUUUGUUUAAAAGUUCUUAUCUUCUUUCUUAAGAGAUUUGUACGAUUUCUAGUGUAAAAACGAUUUAGGAAAGCAGUUUUACACGCUGCCCACGUUUUUAGUGAAGCAGGUGGCAAAGAUUUUAGCCAUUUGCUGGCCUUAUCUUUAAGAGAGAAUGGGAAAAGACUACACUUGUGGUAAUCCCCAUUUGCUGUAAUGGUUGCACAUAAUUCUUCGAAAGUCUCGAUAUGAUCUAUCGGGUUUUCGAAUGAAUAACCAGAGAAUUGAUUUUGUUGAACUAAAUGGAUAUGGGGUACCUUAAUUUCGGUUUUGCCAUCCUUUGGUAAGGCUGGUUGAAUAGCUCUUCGAUCUCCCAUGAAUUUUUCGAGUGAAUCGAAACUUCCAAUCAGUUCAUCAUCAUCUUUGUGUUUGACCGAUCCGAUUAGCUCAUUGUCAUCAUAAAUCGGUUCUUCAAACUCGUCAUCAGUCAGGUCAUCGUCGUCGAUUGGAUCACCAUCCACACGAUUUGGUGGAUCACCAAGAGUCCCGGGAACAUGUUCCCGGUCUCUCAUCUCAGAGAAACCUGAAAAAUUCAAAAGAAAAAGUAAAAGUAAACAAGUGUUCUAAUGGAUUUAAGCUGGGAUUCGCAACGAAACAAAUCAAGUCCCUGGCAACGGCGCCAAAAACUUGAUGCGGGUUGUAAAGCGGGGCUUGUUGUUUUUGUUUUACUAAGCUUCAGGUUUUAAAUUUAUAACCCCUAAAUGUCUGCAUGUGCACAGAUGUGCGCUGUAGUACUUAGGGUAUCGAUCCACAGAGACUUAGUUGUUUGAGUACGAAUUCACUGCAACGCUUAAAUCAGAUUAGAACUAAAAGGGUUUUGGUUUUGGUUUUGGGUUUUUGGUUGUCACUAAAUCUAAACUAGAAAGCUAAACAAGUAAAAGCAAUUGAAAGUGAAAGCAAAUAAAAGCAAGUAAAAAUCGAUUAUGAAUGAAAGCAUGUAACAAGUAAAUAAAAACAGAAUGGAAAUCUAAGGUUGUAAGCAAUGAAAGACAAACGUUGGGCAUCAAGGGUAAUUCGCAGGGGUUCAUAGUCUAUGCUAGGUCGAUUUUAAACAUAUGAUAAAGGUAAUCAACUACGUAUGUUCUAGAACUCGAGGCACGGAAGUAUGAAUAGCCUACUUUCGCAGCACUAAACAACUAUCUCUCGCAACCCUAAUCAGUAGGUUUCCACUCUGAUUCUGGAAGGGAGAAGAUGCAAUAGCAGAACAAGACUCAUCAAUAUUCACAACUCAACUACAGGUAGGUUUCCACUCCUAUAGAAGAUUUGCUCAUUUCACCCUAGUUCAGACAAUCAAUGAAAGCUUUCGCAACAUAUCAUAUCAGAUCGGCUCCUCUUCGAAGACGGCGGCCUCUCUCUCUCUCUCUAGGUUUUGUGUAAGUUUCAGUUCUAUUGGUCUCUCCUCUUUAGAAUGACCUAAAGGGGGUAUUUAUAGCUUGUGGGGUGGUCCUGGACACUUAGGGCUUCAAAAUAACGAAAGGAAUUGAUCUGGGCUUUAAUUAAGUCGUUGGGAAAGUGAACGACCAAAGUCCGCGGUCGCGGUGGCUCUACCCGCGGGAAAAUGGGUGUUUGCCGCGGUCCCGACACAUGCUCUCUUCCGGAACUGCAUUUUCUGUCAUUCUUGCAUCGGGAAUAUUUGAAGAUCUAACCGUUGGAUUGUCUCCAAACCAAGUGAAUUAGAAAGCUGGUUGGAUCCUCUAUGUUGUCUCAAAUUUUGGGGGUGAUCAGACGGUGAGAAGGUCUUCAUCGCUUGUCAUACUUCUGACGGUCUGCAUUUAUCCAAAAUUUCUCAUUUGUUCCAAAUUGCAUAUCUUUUGCCCAAGUUUCCUGUAAAGUCUUUUGAAACUCUAAAACAUUGAAAACACUUUAAAAACAUUGAAAACAGAGUUAAAACACCUGCAUAAGACAUUAUUAUGAUCCAUAAAAGUGGUCAAAAUACGGUGUUAUCAGUCAUCCGCAAUUAGAUGGUCAGACCGAGAUGGUCAAUAGGACUCUUUUUACACUUCUGCGUGCUGCGAUUAGGAAGAACAUUAAGUUAUGGGAGGAUUGUUUGCCUCAUGUAGAAUUUGCUUAUAAUCAUGUAUGCAUUCUAGUACUUUGUAUUCACCAUUUCAGCUUGUCUAUGGUUUUAAUCCGCUUAUACCCUUGGAUUUAACACCUUUACGUUUGAGUGAACGUGUAAGCAUGGAUGGGAAAAAAGAAGGCUGAACUGGUCAAGCAGAUACAUGAGAAGGCGAAAAAAAACAUUGAGCACAAGACGGAGCUGUACCGAAAGUAUGCCAACAAGUGCCAGAGCGAGAAGAUAUUUGAACCACGCGACCUUGUAUGGAUCUACUUAAGGAAGGAAUGGUUUCCAAAGGAAAGGAAAUCCAAACUUUUACCCAAAUUGGAUGGACCCUUCACAAUCUUGGAGCGGAUCACGACCAAUGCAUUACCAAAUUGAUCUCCAAGUUAAGUACUUUGUGAGUUCUAAUUUUAAUGUUGCUGACAUUAUCCCCUUUAUUCCAGAUGGACCAGACUUGAGGACAAUUCCUUUUCAAGAGGAAGGGCAUGAUGUGAUCAUGGAACCGGAGGCACAAGAUUAGGUUCCAGAAGCAGCCUUGGUUGUUCCAGAGGGUCCAAUGACGCGGUCUAAGUCUUGGAAGUUGGCAGAAGCUGUCCAGACAAUGUUAGAAGGAAUCAGUGUGGUGGCUCAGUCCCGGAUCAGUGAAGAUGAGCUUACAUCGUUAAUUUCAAUAUCAUACCAGGGUUUUUGUUGAGGUUGGUCGCGGUGUAAGUCAUGGUACUCUUUUUCCUACCCUCGGUUUAGUCCCAACGGGUUUUCCGGGUGGAGGUUUUAACAAGGCUGUGGCUUACAUCCCACUCUAGGCCCAAGUUCAGCAUGAAUUCCAAGAGACAAACUCAGUUGGAAGUCCAAGAGUCACUCAAAGCAGUCAAGGCAGCCGAGGAGUCAGUCAUAGCUUUAUUUAUUGUAGUCUUAGCAUUAUUUAAUGAAAUUUUACAUUACCGAGUAUGGCUUUUCGCCUACUCCUUCCUCUAUAUAAACAAUGUAGAGAUCUCAGAUCUCAUUUGUUCUUCGUGAACUCCUUUGAUUUCUUGGUGGUUAGCCAUUUGAUCAAUUCGGUUUAUCUAGUAUCACUCAUAACACUUACGCAGCCUUCACCCGAUUGUCUUGUUGGGACGUUCAAGUAGUUAAAUGGGCUUAAGGAUUUUUGGGAACUCAGUUCUCACGUCUUAACAUCCUUUUUCUGCGGAUCUAAUCAGCCAGCUUAGACACCCUCUUGUUUCAAGCCAUUCACGUGAGAUUGGGCCUAAGGAUCUUCGAGAAUUCACUCAGCCCUUAGCAUCUUCAUCCGCAGAUCUAUUGUAGUCAAGGAUCUAUCACCACAAUCCGAUUAAGAGUGUGAUAAUCCUAGGGAAAUCGUAUCAAGUUUGUUUUAAUUACCAUCUUGUAUGCUUUGAGAUUUUUAAAGCCAUAGUCUUGCUUUUUAGCAAGUACCCACAUCUACUAAAAUAGAUAUGAAUGGUGGUAGCAACAUUGAUGUGUGAUUCAAUGUGUUAGUCGCUAAUUAAUAUGUUCUAUGGAUAUCACUAUAAAGCAUUUCAAGAAUCGUUUAAAGUUUUUAUUUAUUUACUAUUAAACUCAAAAAAUGUUCACGGAUGUUGCCAGAGGUGUACCGAGACGAAUUGUACACGUGUAGGAAAGUUCUUAUCGAUUGUCUCGUCUACGAUUAGAUCAUUUAGAUCUUGAUGAAAGAGAACGUUUCGCGUAACUUGCCAAUGGCCUUCGCAGAAACUUUUUCUUUGUAUAUGACUUUUGUUUUUCCUUGAAUCUUAGAAACGAUCAGGGAAAACCGAUUUGGAGAAUGGUCACGGAAGGCGUUUACGAAAAAAUAGAGGAAAACGUUUUCUGAAAACCGUAAGAAAGAAGAAAUAUUUUGCAAUAUAGGAUCCAAUUAAGAUGGAACAGGAUUAUUUUCAAUUAAGAUUGUUUGAAGUAAAAAUGCAGAGACAAAUAUUGUAAUAUAAAAUAUGAAAGAUUUUCAGAAGAAAACCUUUUGUAGAAGAAGCAAAAAAAAAAAAAUAACAACAACAAAGCGGAAAUGAAAGAUUGCUGUGUUUUCUGUGAGUUUUUCUCUGUGUAAAAAGAGAGUUUUUCUCUUUGUAAAAGAAAGAGAGAGAGUGUGAGAGAGAGAGAGAGAGACUCAUAGACCAAAUGAGGAAGACAGCUGAUAAAAGGAUUUUAUCGUAAUGGUAAAUUAACUUUAUGCAAAUGUAAUACGUAAGGGUCAAACGAAAUGGGAAGAUUCAGACACCAAACAUGUAUGAAACUAGCCUAAUCCAAGCAAAAAAGAUAGAGUUGUGCUUAAUUUAAGACUAAUGAUUAAACUAAACAAGUGAAAAGAUCAAACAAAAGCAAAUUUACAACUUAACAAGAUUAACAAAAAUAGAUGAAAGAUAAGCCUCUAAGUGUGAUAAUGGAUUAGGGUGUUUUUCAGUGCUAAUCGAUGAUGUUAAAAUAAUCAAAAAGACAUUUUGUUUAGCUUAGAACUCUUAAACUUGACUGAUCCUUUUUUAAGGUAUACUAAUCACUUUUCUUAUCAUCAUUAGCAGACCUAAUUAUCAUUAGUAUAACAAACAUUCCCAUGUGAAUAAAGUAUUAGAUUCUCAUUUUGGUCAUUCAGGCAUUUCAUUAUACAUUUUUGAUGCAUGGAAUGCCUAUGAACCCAGAUUUCACUUUCUCAAGGAAAUCUGACAUUAGGAGACUAAAAGAGAAAAGAAACGAAAAAUCUAAACCUAAACAUCAUAAAUUAAAUACCUAGGCACCCUAAUCUACACACAAUGGCUAACUCACUAAUCAUGAAGAACAUUAUUAAUCAUUUGCAAGAUGAGUUGUUAAUCAUGAUUAGAGAUUAAAAAAUAUGAAAUACUGAAACUUUGAAACUUAGUUACAUAAAACAAAAAGAUUCAAGAAAACUUAGGUUUUUCCUUUAAAUAGUUAACAAUGUCAGACCGGGUCAACUCGGAACAAACCAGGUAUUGACCCUAUCAGGUCUGGGUUGUGCAUAAGAUCUAUCAGCCAUGGUCAGGUGUGGAGGCUGAUGUCUGGGGCCGAUGGCUGGGGCCGAUGGAGACUUUCUGCUGGAUCCUCGGUCUUGGUCAUUUGGUCGCUGGCCGAUGCACCAAACCGAUGGAGACUAGCUUUGUAAUCUUCGGCCUUGGACAUUUUGGCAUUGGCCGAGGUUCUUGGCCGAUAAAGACUCGUGUAGGAUUCAUAGGCCUCGGAAAAUAUGGCUACGACCGAUGGUAAUGGCCGAUGGAAGCUCACAUAGGAUUCCUCGGCUUCGGUCACUUGGCUUUGGCUGAUGCACAUGGCCGAUGAUUCACAUUUUGCACUCCUCUUUAUCCGGCUCCAGCAUCGGUCUGAGCACAUCGGCCAAGCUUGGCCGAUGCUAAUGUACCAAAGCCCGAGAAACAUAACUUCUGGUCAAUACUCCAAGCUUCUCCAAGCUCUACAUCAUCCAAGUGCUCCAAGCUCCUCCAAAGUACCUAGACAGACUCUAAAACAUGCAAAAACACACUAGGACCUAAGAAACUUAUGAAAAUGCAUGCUUUAGACACUAAACACUAACUAAAAUGCAUGCUAAAAUGAUGUAAAUUAUGACAAUAUCGACAGAUUUGUAUUUCGUCUCUUAGAUUUUCCCAAUAAAUUUAAGCAAUAAUGGAGAGAUGUGGAGGUUACAAAUUCAAAUUGAUUUUCACUCAAUUGUGAAUAAAGGAGACAAUCAAUAUUAAAUUAAAAUGUAUGGUUGACCAGCAAUUCAAAACACUUUUGACCCAAAAAAAAAUAUUUCAUCUCUAUAAAUAAUCUCUUAUUUUUUUCACACUUUACAAAAUUAAUAAGACAUUAGACUUCAAUUAAGUUUGUCCAACAAUCAGUGGCACCCAGGAGACUUUGACAUAAUUCUAGAAGCUUUUUACAACACUCCAUGCUGCACCAAAAUGCAUUGGAUCAGGCGGAUCCAAUUGUCCCUUCAAUUGAACCGAGAGCCAUUUAUAGAAAGUGUGAAGAUCAACCGCUUUAAUCCUUCUCAAAAACUUUUGUUCUGUUUUCUCGUAACUUAACUACUUAGUAUGUUCGUCUCGUUUGCUCAUCUGCUGCUUGGUUUUACACAAAUGCAGCAGAAUCAACGAUCUACAGCUCAGUGGAACGAUACCUAGUUACAUACAAAAUUGGACGGAACUCAAGAGACUGUAAAAUCCUUCUUCUUAAACUCUUUCUUUGUUUAUCUAUUCAGUACUCAAUGAUGGAGUUCUUUCUAUUGCUUGUAGAGAAAUGAUUGCAUCUGGUCUCACUGGUCCAAUUCCAUCGGCCAUUUCGGUUCUGAACAAUCUUUCUAAUCUGUGAGAAGACAUAACUCUUUUGAUGUCAUUUUUUAUCUCCAUAAACUUAGUUUGUUUUCUUCUAUAGUAAUGCAGAUGACACUUUUAUUACAAUGACCAAUUGUUUUCAGGAGGAUCAGUGAUAUAGGUGGACCAGUCCAACCAUUUCCUUCGUUGAAGAACUCUACAGGUUUUUCUAAUAUGUAAGUUACAUCUGUUAUUUGCCUUCUUGAAGUCGUUCUUGUCGGCCAAACAUGUGAGGAUAUUGUCCGUGUUUUCUUCUUUGACGUUUUUUGUUGACAUAAUUUGGCAUUCUAACUUAUGAUUUAUCCGGAUUUUUCUUGUUUUAGGAAUUUGAAUCUAAACUUGUUUCAGAGCACUUCGACAAAAAAAAUCGUAAGGUCCUUUCUUUUGGUUAUCUUUAGCAUCUAGAUUUCGUGUUUGUAGCUUAAAUAUUGUGAAAUGUUUGUACUUUUCAAAAACGAAUUCCACAGUUGAUACAGAUAUACAAUUCCCAAUUAAUUUUUUUGUAGGAGCCAGUUUCUUCCGUGCAUCAAUGAUUUCAAAUGUCCUCGAUGUAAGUACACUUACCUACUCAACUGUGUCGCCAAAUCACAUAGGACUAGUGAUGGUAGAUCGUUUCACAAUAUUCUCACGUCAAUAUUGCUAUUUCCUGUCUUGUUAUCAUUGUUAAUGUAGAAAUUUCAGUCGUUUAUUCACUCUCAUUUAUGCAAUAUGGUUUAUCUGGCAGAUUCUAGCUGCCUCCAUGUGAACUGUGGUGGAAGUGAUCUAACAGUAAAGGAAAAGAAAAACAAAAUCUUAUAUGAAGGAGAUGGAGAGGCUGAAGGUGGUGCUGCUAAGUAUUUUUUGAAGCCAAAUUUAUUGGGGAUUCAGCAGCACAGGGGACUACAUGGACUACAACAAUUUCCAAAACACAAGAUUCUCUGUGUUUGUCCCUUCAUCUAACCUGUCUGAACUAUACAAAACAGCAAGAAUGGCUCCAGUAUCUCUUACUUACUUCCAGGGCCGGCCCAGGGCUAAAGCCCAUGAAGCAAGGGCUUCAGGACAACCCAUUAAAGCACCUCCAAUGGUUAGCACUUCUACAAAGUGCUUAACCAAUUUUAUAUUAGUUUUUUUUAUACUUUUUUGUUUAAGCACCUCUACUAAUUUUUUUCAAGUUCCCACCCUCCAAUGAGAGGUGUUUAAAGUGAGGUGCUUAAAAAAUAAAAUUGUGGUUCAAAUUUAUAGGAUCUGUAUGUAUCUUCUAUGGCUGUUUAAAAGAUAAUGAAAGAAAAGUAGAAAAGGAAAGAGAGGAAUGAAGGAAUAGGGGCUUCGAUGGGUUUUUUUUUGUUGUUAAUGGAAGCUUAUCUUUGUGCUGUUAAAAGAAAAAGGAAAGAAAGAAAUGAAGGGAGGAGAAGAGAGGAUCGGGAAUUGCAGAAGGGAGGAAAGAGAAGAGUUUGAGAAUAAAAGAAUUGUAAUGAAAAGAGAGAGAAGAAGAAAAAAAGAAUUGUCUCCACCAAUCAGAAACAAGCACGACAGGGGUGCUUAGGAAUGCUAAAAACGCUUAAAGAAGCACCGCUGCUUAAAGAAAUAAGCAAUAAAACUUUAUUUUUUUGGCAAAUUUUAAUCUAAGCACCCCUUAAGCAUUUCCCAUUGGAGAUGCUCUUAUAUCAAAAAUUUUGGGGCAACAAAAUAUAACUUGAUUUUUAAUUUUAACCCAUAUUUAACUAAAGCCCAUCGACAUUUUUUAAAAAAAUUAAGGCUUUGGUUUGUCCCACAUUGAAAAACUAGCAUAAUUUAGAAGAAAAACUGCAUUAUAAAUAGGUCUUUGUGUCUGAUGGGGGCAUCAUUUGAUCUUGGGCCAGUCCUUACGCUUUAGGCGUCAUAUGAGCUUGGGCCGGCCCUGCUUACUUCCACGCCUGCUUGGAAAACACAAAAUACACUGUAAAUCUAGACUUUGCUGAGCUGCGGUUCACAAAUGAUGAAACCUAUAGCCGGCUUGGGAGGCGUGUCUUCGAUAUUUACAUUCAGGUUAGCUUUUUCUUAAAGCAGCUUUGAAUGCAAUUAGCUUUUUACAGAUGACUGCGGUGCACUUCCAGACUGAUUGUACAGAUCUUGUGAGUAUGUCGGAUUCUCCAACGGAUCUUGUGAGUAUGUCGGAUUCUCCAACGGCUGGAAUUGUUACGCAUUCUUCGAGAGAGCUUCUCUGAGUUCAGUUUAUCCUAUAUCCCGAGGAGUUCAAAUGUCCGAGCGGAUAGUCUUGCAAAAGGAGCUCAAGCAAGAGGAGUCAUAUUUUCUCAAAUCGAUCAUAACAAGUCAAUCAAGGAUGGCCCUCAGACCACUCUUUCGAUAGGCCAAAUGUGAUUGUAAUAGUUGGGUAGAGGAAAAAAAAGUGGUUUUUUUUUCUAAAGUCUAUCGGCACAUUUCAUUGUAAAGCCUGCGGUUUUUUAUUAUUGGUGUAAUCGUCUUUCCGUGUGAAGAGAGUUCAGGUUACGGAGAACAAAAAUAAACUUAUAUAUAGAAAUGAUGUAUAAUAAUAGAGAGUAAUUCAGAUUUAAAAAUUAAAAUGAUAUCAAAUCUAACAAAUAGAUUGUUUACCUGCGCUCCGAUAAAAUAGUUUCGUGUUCACGCUUGAAUGAAAGAUAAAAACCGACAAGAAUAAGAGACAAUUUUGACAAAAGAGGAAAAAAUUUGUGGCUAGGGAGAAUGAGAAAUUACAAUACUUUAUAAAAUUAAUGUAUACAAAUAAUGACUAUUUUAGAGAUGAAGUUUAACAUGGUAUAAAAACUACCAAAAUGAUUGUUCAAUUACCUACGGUCUGAUAUCAAAGUUUCAUGUCUGCGGUUGUAUAAAAGAUAAGUACUGACAAGGAGAGAUAAUUUCCAUGAAACAGAGAAGUUCUCGAGAAGUAGAACAAAAACUAGAAUUAUCUUUAAACUUAAUGUGUAUAUAUAAUGACAAAUUCAGAGAUGAAACAAAUACAUGAUAUCAAAGCUAGCAAAAAAGAUUGGUUACAUACAGCCAGAUAAUAUGGUUUCAUGUCCACGCUUACGAGAAAUAUAAAAAUCGGCAAAGAGAGUCAAAUCCGUCAAAACAAGGAGAAAUCUGAGACUAAAGAAUGAAUAAAUAAAACAAUGCGUAAACUUAAUUUAUAUAAAUAAUAAUUACUUUAGAUAUUAGCUUAACAUGACAUCCAAACUAAAAAAUAAUUUUUUACAUACGCUAUAAUAGUAUUGUUUUGUGCAUAUGUUUACGUGAAAGAUAAGAACUAAUGAAAAAUAAACAAUUCCUAUAAAAAGGAGAAAGAAUUCUGGAUCCGAAGAACAAAGAAUUAAGGAUAACAUUGAAGAUUUUUAAUUAUAAAUCCAAAAGGUAAGUCACAGUAGAAGACUAUGAACGUUGUAUAUAAAGAAGUGUUUUACAAUAUUUUUUAAACCGGUCUUUUUGUCUUAAUUUAACUAUAUUUGUGGUUUUGAUAUAAUAAUUGGUUUUCGUUAGUGUCUAUGAAUACAUAUAAUUAUUAUUUUUAUGUUUUCUUGUUUGUUGAUCAUAUGUCAUACAUUAUUUUCAUAUUUGUGUUUGGUUUAUUAUUAGUAAUAAAUUUAAUAAUCUAACUAGUGUGGUUAUUAAAUGAAACCCUUUUGUCCGCACAAAGCGUGGACAAAACACCUAGUAUUCAUUGAAUCUGGAGGUCCCUAGAUACCACAUCAUCUCGCCUAAGCUGUCGACUCAAGCAUACCUCUAAUUUCCAUGUCUGGCUGAGAUUCACUCAUUAUGAGUCUAACAGCUAGUUUUUGAUUUUUAUUCCUUGUAUUUUGAUUUCUAGAAUAGUCUUGUACAGAGCAUUAUAUAAGCUCACUAUUGUCUUCAUUGUAAAUUCACCUUUCAAAGUCAAGUCUUUGGAGUAUUUUGUUUUCUUUCAAAGUCAAGUCUUUGGAGAAUUGUUCUUGUCUUUAGAUUCUAAAUAUGUGAGGCCCUUCUUAUCUAUUGAUCUGCAGAUUAAGUUGGUUUGUGAGAUUCAUACAACCUUGUUUGUUUACUGAUUAAGAGAGUUAAUCACCAUCGAUUGAGAAAGUUAAUCAAAACGACCACCUACUUCUGCAACAAAACUUGCUGUCUUUGAUAAUCUUGUGAACUAUAAGAUUUGGUGGAUUCCAAUCUUAUAUCACCAACCCAACAUUAAUUUCCAGUGCACUACCAAAAAAAAUGUAUCCCUAGAAUUAAAAAAGCUUGAUCGUUGUAAAAAGCUCUCAGGUGUUUGCCCUAAAGAAAAAAUACAUCUAUUCUAUUAAAACAGAAGCACUUUUAGUGCUUGCAUCCAAACACUUCCAAAGUUUUUUUUUUAAAAAAAAAAAUUGUUUAGAAACUGUUUUAAGAUUAUCCUAUUUUGUAGUAAUAUUAUUUUAAAAAUAUAUUUUAUAUAUAUAUAUUUAAUUCUGAAAAAUUGAAGUGUUUAUAUUAGUUUAUAUAUCUAAAGAUAGGUUAUAUUUAAUUUUAAUUUUAAACUAUUUAUUUUUAAUUAAAUUUAUUUUUGAAAAAUAGAUAAUAAUUAAAAUCUCUAUACUUCCUUAAAUAUAGGUUAGAUUUGAUUUAACAUUUGAAAUUUAAAUAAUUUUAAAAUAACACAUAUAUGAUUAACGAAUUAUUUAUUUCAAUCAUAUUCAAUCAAACUAAAAUUUCACAAUUGAAAACUGAUACAUAUUAAUAUUAUAUAGUAAUUUGAUGGAGUGAGUUAGAUAUUUUUUAUAAUUGUGCUCUUAUACGGGUUAGAUUAUAAAAACAUGCACGAUAUUAAGAUAAAAAUUAUUUCAAAAUUAAUAAAUAUUUAUAUUAUAUAGUAAUAUAAACAGGUGUAUUAGAAUUAUGGUCUUUUAACUAUAAUUAUUUUUGGAUUAAUAAAAUGAGCGAUUUAGAAAUAUAUUUUUAUAAUAAUAGCCAUUUUUCAGUUAACAGAAUGGCUGGGUUAGAAUUAUGGUUUUAUGAUAGUGGUCAUAAUAAUACUAAAAAAGAGUUAAAAAAAAAUAAACGCAAAAAUAAAUUUCUAUCACUUAUUAGAAAAAAUAAAUCUAUAAAGAAAACAUAAAUUAUGUUACAAUUUUGACUAAAAAAAUUUUCGUGCGGAUGCACGGGGUAAAAUCUAGUUGAGUUUUGAAACCCUCUCUGCCGUCUGGCUUUCUUUCCGGCUACGAGAGAGGGGGUUCAUGUUAGCAAAAGAUGCUCUUCAAUGAAGGUUGCUGGUUGCAUGGAGGAAUCAGAGAACUGACGGUCUCCUCUCCAGUGGUGAUGAGUCUUGAUUCAGCUGUAGUGGCAAGGCGGUGCUGUGACAGAUGCAUAGAACAUAAAUUGAUUUGUUUUUUAUACUAGCACCAGAGCUGCUAGAGUCGGUGGCAUAGCGAGCAAGGAGGAGAAAUAUCGGCAGCAGAGCAGAAGCUGCAGUCUGUAGCAGAAAUCAUUGCUCCAGCUGGGUGGGUGGCACCACGAGUGGAGCAAGGUGCCACGGUGGUCAGUAAAGACCUAUGCAACUAGAUAGUUAUCAACGACGACAAACAGGUAAGUGAUUUCCUCGAUAAUCCAGGUGUUUUGGAUCUUCCUUUGCCAUAUUGAAGUUCUCGAUGGUGAAUGGACUUGUUGGUAACUGUUGAGGGCUUUUGAGAUCCGGUUCGAUGGCUCAAUGUAUUAUUCUUGUUUUUACGGUGCUAUAGGUAUCGGCAUUGAUUCGCCAAAGGAGGAUCAGGUUGCUCAUCGGUUCAGACUUGGCGGUUGGGGUCUUCUCUCCGGCUGGUCAAUGAUGGACUGUCAGCAUGCCACAAAGCUCUCUUCAUGUAGUCGCCGGUAAGGUCAUUGAACAGAGGAAGAAAUCGAUUAAACACUUCUCACAUUUUUGGCGAUUUUGUUUACCUUCGAUUGAUUCUAAAGUGUUCGGUUCAAUUUUACUCUGGUUUAGUUUUUGUAACCAGUUUCUAUUUCUGGUUGGGUUGAUGUGAAUGAAAAAAAAAGUGUUUUACCGUUUGAGGUACUUUUAAAAUAGUAAUAUCUUCCACAUACACUUUCUGAAUUAAGAAUACUUUCUGCAACUCUUUUAUACUGUUUGGACUGUCAAAUUCCUAAAACACCCUGCAGUAAAACUUGUUCCUAUUUUCUCUUCGGAUGAAAUUCUCAUCUACCAGUAAAUGGUGAGAAAAUAACUUAGCAUGCCUAAGUUAUUCUUUCAUGCCAAUGGUGGUCCCCUUUCUUUUAAUGAAAUUCGUUAUCCCCAUAAUACCUUUAAUUUCGGUGAAUAACAAAAAUGAAUAAUCGACCAAUGAUAAUUUGAGAAAUUUCAGCCAAUCAAAAUAUUUGGUGGGUCCCCUUCUCUUUUAUUGAAAUGUGUUAUCCUCAUAUUACUCUUAAUUUCGGUAAAUAACAAAAAUGAAUAUGAGAAAGUUCAGUCAAUCAAUUUUUUUGGGGUUUCAUUGUUUUGGUGGGAAAUGUUGACUACUAGGAAAUAAGGAGAUUUCAGCCAAUAAAAUCAUUUCGGACCAAAUUUCAGCCAAUCAGAAAUCAGGCCGAUUAUUAUUAAUUCGUUUCUAGGUAUUUGACGACUGGAAUUCAUUUUUACUGGGUUUACAACAUCUCUUCCACUUCAAUUCGAUGAAGCUUCACUUCCAUUCAAACGCCGAAGCACGAGGUAAGUUAUUCUUCUUCCUCGGGCCCUCUAUAUUAUUGAGAAUUUGUCAAUUAGUAGAUGUAUUUGAUUCGAUGUUGCUGAGGAACCAUUGUGUUGGAAUACAAUUUUGAUUUACAAAAUAGGGCAAUUCAAAAUGGGGAAAAUUCAUGUUUAUGAUGGACAUUGGGUCGCAUAUUAUUUUAAUGGACUGUUAAUUUUAGUUAUGUUUAUGUUAUGUUUAUAAUCGUAAGUAGAUUUAAUUCUACACCAAAUUCGCGGAUUGAGGAUAAUUUACACAAUUUGGUAAUACUAGGAUUUUUCGUAUAACUAGGAAUAAGUGAUAUUAAUAAGUUAAGUUGAUAUGCAGUGUUUAUGCUUUUAUUUCAGAACAAAAUGAUAACAAACGUACUCUUUGAUUACGGAGGUCAUAAUUCAAGUACUCUUUGAUUACGAUAUAAUGUUUAAGACAUCAAGCUUAGAGGAGAUAAAGUAUUCUGAUUUAGUGGGUAGGAUAUGCAGGAAGGUUGGGAUAGGGGAACCAUCGACAAAGUUGAAGCUGAGUUAUUUUCAGGUAGUAAUUCAAAAGAAGAAAAAGUUUUACAUUUUUGAUGACGGUGAUCUUGGUGUCUAUCUGAUGUCGUUCGAUAAAGAAUGACACAGAAGUGUCUUACAUGUAGAAGUCAUCAAUGUAUUUGGAGAAUCUCAGGUGGCUGAGCAAGUUUCACGUGUAGAGAGGGUAAGUCCAGAUGAUGUGAAUAUCAUGGUGUGAGCACAGCUAAUUAUAUAGUGAGUGAUGGAGUAAUUUCUGACUGUAAUGCUGAAUUUAAUGAUGGUGUCCUUGUUAUUUACACAGGAAACAAUUCAGCAGAACAACAUCGUGAGCCAGUGAUGGAGAAUGACAAUGGUGUGAAGUUAUCUCGUGAGAAUGAGGAUAACGGUGGAGAUGAUGAUAACAUAAGUCAAAAAUAUCGAAUGCUUGAUAUUGUUGAACCUCCAGCAUGUGUUGAAGAACAAUGUUUUGAACGUGAAUGGGAGAUGGUAUGAAGCUAAGAGUAGGUGAAGAGUUUACCUGUAAGCAGGAUCUGAUAGAUUUAGUUUACAGAGCUUCUCAUAAGCAUUGUUUUGGUAUCAUUGUACACAAGUCUGAUAAGAGUCGAUACUAUGUGAAAUGCGAUCAAGCUGAAGCUAGAUGUAACUGGUAUAUAAAUGCCGCUAAGUCAGUUAAUUCAAAUAUUUUCAUGGUUAGACUAUAUAGGAAAAUGCAUUCUUGCUCUCAGGCUUCUGCCUGUACAAGCAACAAACGAAGGAAAGGCACACCAGGAUAAGUUGCAGCAAUUUUUAGUAAAAAAUACCCAGGUUAAUUAAAACCACCAAAUCCUAAAAGUCUCAUGCUUAUGGUUCAAACAAAAGGUCGUGUGGAUGUGUCCAUACUCUACGGUAUGGAGAGGCAGACAGAAAGCUAUAAGUUAUGUUCGUGGUACUCCAUAAGAGAGUUAUGAGCAUCUGCAUUGAUAUUUGUACAUGCUAGAACAGAUGAAUCUGGGUACAAAAUCAAGUGUGGAAGUCGAUGAAUUUGUAAUAUUCAAGUACUUAUUUGUCGCUCUGGGUCUUACCAUUGAAGGGUUUGUGGCAAUGAGGAAAGUGAUCAUCGUUGAUGCAACUUUUUUGAAGAAUGGAUUUGGUGGAUGCCUUGUAUUGCAACAGCUCAGGAUCCAAAUCAUCACCAUUAUCCCCUUUCGUUUGGGGUAGUUGAUGGGGAAAAGAAUGAUAGUUGGAAGUGGUUCUUCAGUAACCUUAAAACCGUGAUACAUGACAGUUCAGAAUUGGUGUUUGUUUUGGACAGGAAUCAAAGUCUGAUCAAGGCAAUAAGGGAGGUGUACUCAUAAGCUAAACAUGGUUUUUCCAUAUAUCAUUUGGCCCAGAAUGUGAAAGCGAGCGUUCGGAGAGAGAAAGACUUAGUUGUAGGCAAGUUCAUGGAAUGUGCAAAGAAGUAUACAGAGGCUGAGUUUCUUGAUGCUUAUGGGCAACUGGGAGAAAGGUAUCUAGAUGCAACUACGUAUUUUUAUGAUAGUUUGCUUGAGGAAAAAUGGGUUAGGUGCUUCCGGGAGAAAGGUACAACAUCAACACUAGAAACUGUGUAGAGUCUAUGAACAGUGUGUUUGAUGAUGCGAGGAAGUAUGCUUUAUUACCUAUGAUGGAUGCCAUUGUAGCAAAGAUAUCUGAGUGGUGUAACAAACAUAGGAAGAAGUGUGAAACAGAACCUGAAGCACUUAAACUGGUUCCAUUUGUCGAAAAUGUAUUACACGGAACUAUUGAAGUUGCGACCACCCUAAAUGUGACUGAGCUGAACUGGUUUCUGCUUGAAUACACUGUGGUCGGAAAAAAUGGGAAGACUUAUCUGGUAAACUUGAGAAGCAAAUCUUGCUCAUGCAUGCGUUUUGAUAUAGAUAAGUAUCCUUGCGUCCAUGAAGCUGCCGUAGUGAGGAUUUUUAUGGCAUGAUUUGUACUCGAAGUAUUAUACUACUGAAUUAUGGACACUUGCAUAUUCCAGGACGGUAUACCCUGUUCCUCAUCGUUCACAAUGGCUAAUUCCAGAUGAUAUCAAAAAUAUGGCUGCCCCAAAAUCACCUGAGAUGAGAAAAAGAAGGGAAGACGGCAACAGAGAAGAUUUGCUUCGGUUUGAGAGUGUGGCCCAAGACCAAGUAAUAAGCGUCAAAAAAGGCAGGGUAAUACUCAGGGUGGAGGCUGGGCUCCCUAUUUUAAUGUCAGUAAUCCUGACGAAAAUGCACAGGGUAAUACGCAGGAGAGAGUGAACAUUAUUAAUUUAUAAUUGUAUGAAUAACUUGGUACAACUAUGUUAAGAUCUAGGUUGGUUGCUUGUUCUUUCGUGUUAAAAUAAAGAAUAUGAUAUGUGUCCAAUGUUGUUUUGUAACAAUUCUGGGAAACGAGGGAGAAUGUUCUAUUUCAUUUCAUCGGAAAAAUGAGCUUCCUUGAGAACACGUCUCAGUUACUUUUUACUUUUUCAGAAUAUACAUGUGGGCCGACAUAAUAAGACAAAAUAAGAGGACAUACCUUGAAACCCUUUUUUCAGACAUAGAUUAUUUAAUAUGUAUAUUAUAUUCCUUUUGGUUAUCGGUAUCGGUAUUUCUUGGUUUGGUAAACCAAUUUCAAAUUACAAGACGCAUGAAAAUGUUGAAUUAUACAAAAUCAAGUGCAAGCGAUGACAUUCUUGUAGAUUAUAUGCAUAGUUAUGUUAUGAUUAACAUUUAAACUAGACAAAAUAUGCAAACUCACAAUAUUUGAACUUCAAAGAAACAUUUCUCAUAAAGCGCAACAUAGUUCUAUGAAGACUUCAUGAGGAGUAACCAUAUAAGGCAUCGAACAAUACGUAUAAAGUGAAACAAGAAAUCUGGUUACAUGAAAAUGUUGGGACAGUAAAAUAAUUGCUAUUAGUGAAAAGUACAACUACACAAUUAUAUAUCUAAUAGAGGUAUUACUAUUUUUUUGUUUAAAAUCGCAAAAGUACAACUACUAGAGAGAUUUUGUAUAACUGACAUAUUGGUACAAAAACGUAUCAAACCUCCUAAGAAGAAUUGACAUGGGUCCACGCGUUAUUGGACAUUAGCUUUUGACGGUGGCACAUGAGACGGGUCCGUAUUCUGCGUAAUAUUUAAAUAAUAUUAUAUUUAUUUCAGAAAAUUUGGUUUUUAAAUUUCUCCCCAAUUCUCCCAAUCUCAGAAAAUUUCAAACUUCCUCCCAGUUUUCCUUUUUGAAAAGGUUAUUUCCUUUCUAUCUAUUCAUAUUUCUAUUCCCUCUUCCAUUCUGUUCUUUCUUUUCUGAAUCCUUAUCAAAACGAUUAUGGACCCGAGCUACGAAAACGAGAAAAAAACAAGAAACUAUACGACAUGCUUUUCCACAUAGCCGAUGGUGACUAUGGGAUUCCGAAAGAAUGUCCAUGUGGUGGAAAAAUCAUCCAGGAGAUCUCUGACGAUCCGGGAAAGAGAUACUACACCUGCAAAGUGUUUAAGGUAUUAAUUGUUCUAAUUUUAUGGGUUUAUUUUUAGAAUUACGAAUUAGUUGUUCAAAAUUUCUGGAUUCAAGGGUUGGGAUUUUAAUUUUCCUGGGUUCACUUUUAAGAUUGCGAAUUAGAUGUCUAAAUUCCUGAGUUCACUUAUAAGAUUGUGAAUUAGAUGUAUAAAUUUCUGGGGUCAUGGGUUAGGGUUUAGAAUUAGAUGUCGAAAUGUCUGGGUUCAGGGGUUAGGAAUACGAAUAACUUGUUUUGAUUUGCUGAAUUUAUAUGUAGAAUGAUGGCUACCAUUUUCGGAAAAAAUGAGAUCAUGUUGUCGAUGAAGAGAUUACUAUGUAAAGAAAUGAGAUUCAUGAGCAUUGCGCGAGGUACUAAUUAAACCGACUUUUACCAAGUAUUACCAAUUUAUUGUAGUUUGACAAAUUUCUAAAUUUCCACGAACUUGGGCUGAAUUAUACUAAAUUGUACUAUUUAUUGACAAAUUUGCACGUAGUUGAGCCGACUUAUACCAAUUUGUACCAAUUAUUGUAGUUUGACAAAUUUUCACAUAUUUGGGCUGAAUUAUACCUUAUUGUACCAUUUAUUAUAGUUUGACAAAUUUGCACGUAGUUAGGCCGAAUUAUACAUUUUUAUAUCAAUUAUACGAAUUUCUACAUUUAAGGGUUUCUUCACUUUUUAGGGAUUUAAAUACGUAAUAAAUUAUUUAACACAGCAUUUGUGAGAAAUAUUUAUUUCACAAAUAAGUAAAUAUAACCAAAAAAAGGUUCGAGAUACUAAAAAUAAAAAGAUAAAAAGAUGAUUACAGUGAUGGUGCAGGAAGUGGUAGAUGAAGAGGAUGAGCAACUUAUGAGUCUGAGAGAAAGUUUCUGAGAGAAUAUUUUCUUCUCCUCAGUCUUCUCUCAGACUCCUAGCUUGCUCGUCUUCGUCAACCACUUCCUGCACCAACUUACGUAAUGUUUGUAUAGCGAGUAGGGUUCAUGUAGAAAGGAGAAGGAAAGAGUGGUUUGAUUACUAAGAUGGUGCAGGAAGUGGUAGACGAAAAAGAAGAGCAACUUAGGAGUCUGAGAAAAGAGUUUCUGAGAGAAGAGUUUCUUCUCUUCACUCAUAUCUCAGGCUCCUAACUCGCGCGUCCUAUCGUCCACCACUUCCUGCACCAUCUUCUGUUUCUUUGAAUAGAGAGUUAUUGAAAAUUAGGGUUUCUGUUGAAGAAAGAGUGGUUUGAUGAAAUAAGGAGUUUAGGGUAUUUAUGGAUAAGUGAGGUGGUGCUGGAUGACGUGUUUACACGUAACCGUUAUAAAUGGGGUAGUUAAAUGCGUCCACUCAUGAUUAAAAUGAAUCGAUUCUCGAUGUAAGACUGGUACAACUACCAAGUCUGGUAAACCAUAUCAUUUAUUGAACACGACGUUUGCGAUAAUUUUUUUUUUAAAAACAAAACAAGUGAAAAUUACCAACAGGAGAAAAGGUUCCAAAAGGGUUCAAAAAGAUAAAAUAAGAAAACAAACAAAAGUUUUUUGAUGCAUGAUUACGCCAUGGCGUGCAAUUGGAUCCACCUCCGAGCGUGUUCAUCGAAGCAGACCCUUUCACAGUGAAACAUAUCUGCGGCAUCCUCCCUCACCAUGUCCUUCUCCUUGAUCCACAAAUGAAUCAGCAUGUCGUGAAUCGUCAUCAACAUCUGGCCCACCGUCGCGUUGGGUGCCACAUGUCAUACACCAGCAUUGGGUGGAAGAUUUUGCCCUCAGGACUGACGUUUGGGUGGAAUAUUGGUGUGUUGAAGUGCAUCCGCGGUGCCUUAAGCAGAAAUCCUGGAUCGAAGUGGAUGCCGAGAGAGAAGACACCCCCUUCAUAGGGUGUAUUCUUCGUACCAGUGAUUGUGGCCGUCCACUCAUACAUGUCGUCGUCCUUCACACAGGUGGAGUAGAAGGGAGAGGAGUGGUCUUCAAAGUCCUUGAUGGACCUUCGGAUAUGGAAGAGUGCCAUGAGUUCUCGUGGGGUCGCCAUUUUGUGAGAGUUAAUGAAUUUUAGGGUUUAUGACGAAAAGAGAAGGAAUAAGUGCUUUAAUGAGAUGAGAAGGAUAGUGAAGUAUUUAAGGAUAAGGACAGUUAAUGAAAAUUAGAGUUUCUGAAGAAAAGAGAAUCAAAUGAGUGUUACUAUAAAUGAAAUGAAAUGAGAAGUGGUGUCAAAGGGAGGUGGUGCUUGAUGACGUCUUCACGCGUAACCGUUAUAAAUGAGGUAAGUAAAUGGGGUAAAUAAAUGCGUCCAUUGUCGAUGUAAGAUUUGUAUAACUACCAAGUCUACAAAUCAACUCUACAUAAUAUUAUAGAAUUAUACAAAGUUUUAUCAAAAAUAUUUUAACUAAGGUCUCUCUUUUAGGGCUUUUUCUGAUUUCAGAGACUACUUAAUUUUCCAUUUUAAGGUUUAUUAUCUGAUCUUAGAUACUAUCGUGUAUUUUUCCAAAUUUUAGGGUUCCAUCUAGGUUGUUCCUAUUUUAUCGUUUUUUUGUGAACAAAAUUUUGUGAAAAAAUUUCAUUAAUCACAAAAAAAAAUAAUUAGAUAAUAAACAGAAAGAAAAUGUACACAUAAAAAGAAAAACAAAAGAAAAUGAAAAUAACAUAAUUAAAAAGAUGUUCAUAGCUCGUGGAUCUGGGUGAAGCUACGAGUGAGUUCCUCAUAGCGGACCCUGUCUUCGCGGUACAUCACCGCCACCUCUUCCCUCACGACGUCGCCCUCCUCCACCAGCGGAUGCAAGAGCAUGGUGGCCAGAGUCAUCAUCAUCUGGGCCACUAAAGUCACGAUGCCCCACGUGUCCAGCAUGAGCAUGGGGUGGAAGAUGUUGCCGCAAUGACUCACGUUGGGGUGGAAGAUGGGAGUCCUGAAGUGCACCUUUGGUGGCUUCAGAAGAAACUCGUGCGGAAAGUGGAUGCGCAAGGUGAAGAUACCCCCUUCGUAGGGAGUUUCCGAUGGACCGGUUAUGGUCACUGUCCAGACAGACAUAUCCUCCGCCUUCACCCCAACGGAGUAGAUCUCCGACGGGUUUUGCUGCAGUUUGGGUAGGUAGCGACGGAUCCAGUAGAGAGCCCUUGGUUCAUUUGGUUGGUUAGCCGCCAUUUGGGAGAGAAAAGGAAAUGGGAAAGAUAAAAGUUUUUUGGGAGUUUAGGAUUUCUUUCUCUGAGAUGGUGUGGUGAAAUGAGAAGGCGAGGGAGUUCUAUUCAAGAAGAAGAAGUGAUGCGGUGCAUGCAUUAAUUGCGUCGACUCGCGAUACAAAUUAUGCGUAUCUCGAUGUACGACUGGUUCAACUCCAUGUCGGAAUACAAAUUGAUUAAAAUGAGUACACGUAAGUUAUGAUGGCAUUCCCACAUGCGUCGUUUUAUAAAUGCUUAUUAAUUUAAAUGAUUCGACAGUUACCCGACAACCAAAAGAGCUACAUUAAUUUAAACCGAUUACAAACAACUGAUAUCCUCAACUCUAAUUUAGUUUAAAAUGAUUAUAAUCAUGACCAAACCAAUAUCCUUAAAAUAAAUUUAAAUCUACAAACGAUCUAACAGUCAUAUUUGUUCAAAAUUUUUUUUUUUUUUUGAAUUGACAGUAAGAUAGAGGGAACAUUUAUGUUAAAUCUUCCUCUUCUUCAUCUUCUCAUGAUGCACCUCCCCUUACUCUAAUGAAGCGCCAAGUUGUUCCUACAUGGUAACACAGAUAUGUGAUGUUUAAUCGUGACACACCAUAGUUUUACCUAUGAGUACCAAAUAAUACAAUUACAUUUGAAAUGAAGAUAAAAUACCUAUAUCCCAUUACGUCUUCUGGUGAAAUACGUCCUAACAACCGCUGGCUUCGUCUUUUUCUUCGUAUCCUUCUCGUUCUCCUUCUAUGCCACCUCACCUCCCACUUCUUCAUUCUAUUCUCCUUCUUCUCCUUCUUCAUCUUCACGUUGUUCUUCUCCUUCUUUCUCUUCUCCUAGACCUUCUCUUGGAAUUACCUCUUUCACAUCAUAUUCAACGGACUUCAAUCUAUAUCAAUGCCAUCGAUGAGGUCUCUCAUUUGGAGGAACUGCUCAUCCAUAUUCUUCUUCAACCCUUGAAUCUGGUUCACAAUCCCAAUCGGCGCUGGAGAUUUAGAGGAGGCAUUCUUCGCUGGUUCAUCGUUCAAGCUCAUAUCCUUCAAGAAUAUCUUCUUCCCAUCCUCAACUAUACGCCUCGUCCAAUUAUCAGGAAUUAUAUCACCGGUAUCUGGGUCUUCAUACCCUUCCAUGAUACUAACUAACAUAUCUUCCUCAUCAAGAGAUGGUUGCAAUAUACUCUGGAUAUCUUUGGUAUUACCGAGUGUUACGUAGAAGUCCGAGAAAGGAAACCUUUGAGAGUGAAUGGUCUGAACUUCGUCUUACACAUCCAAGGACACCCUAUUUCUGCUCCUUUAGCUUCUUCAUUAUAUGUGUCCUUCAAACAAGGUAUUGCUUCAAAAGGUAGCAACUCCAAGGGAGUAACAAAGCCAGGAAAUGUCCAAGAAUCAGUUUCGACGACCUAAUUGAAGUGCCUCAAUGUAUGAUCGACUUCUUUGAGAUUCGCAUCAAAUGAAUUCACAACACACAUUCUCAAGCGAUCAGGACCACCCUGCCUCUUUUCAAUCUUCUCUUUAACAACAGCAAGUGAAGGGAUAAUUCCUUUCUUAAAAUACUUAUCCUUAAAAUCACUACUGCCCACCAUCUCAUAAUUCUCUGGCUAUUCAUGGCAGUCUAAUCCAGAUAUGAGUCCAUGUUCCUUAAGCGAAUACCGAAUUGGAACGCCAUGAACAACAAACCAAUACUCUCUCCUCUUCUCUGUCUUUGCUGUGCGUAGAAGGAGUAUCCACAUCCCCUGAGUCUUAUGGGUUGUAUCCAUAUACAUCGCCUUGUGCAUAUGCCAGAAGUGCUUGAAUUGAGGAUGCUCGCUAAACCACCUUAGCUCAUCGGGUCUCAGUUCCAAAGACGCCGACUCUAGAUUAUCCACUGCUUUGUGGAUCCAACACUGAGUUCCUAACUUUAUUGCCUUGUUGUACUGAUUUGGACUAAAAUACAUACUCAGCAGUUGCAUUGGCUGGUGUUCCUCAUCAUUACGCGUUUGCUCCUCAUCUUCAUUACGAAAGCGUAAUGGCUCCCACCAGUGGCGGAUCUAGAAAAAAAUUUAGUUGGGGGCAUAAGUUUAUAAAUAAGAAAGAAAAAAAAUUAGUUGGAGGCAAAAAAUUAUUUUUAUUAUUAAAUUAAAUUUAUUUUGAUUAAAUUUAUCCUAAAAUUAAAAGAAAAAUAAAAAAGAGUAGGGGGCACUUGACCCCACUCCUCU
rnacentral:lncRNA from 1 species